GCAAGAAGGGGAAGAAGAAGGCGAAGAAGUCGGUGGAGACCUACAAGAUCUACAUCUUCAAGGUGCUGAAGCAGGUGCACCCCGACAUCGGCAUCUCCUCCAAGGCCAUGUCCAUCAUGAACUCCUUCAUCAACGACAUCUUCGAGAAGCUCGCCGGUGAGGCAGCCAAGCUCGCGCGUUACAACAAGAAGCCCACCAUCACCUCCAGGGAGAUCCAGACCUCCGUCCGCCUCGUCCUCCCCGGCGAGCUAGCGAAGCACGCCGUCUCUGAGGGCACCAAGGCCGUCACCAAGUUCACCUCGUCGUAGACGAUAGGCUUCCCCCUUAGCUCGUGGCCUGUUUUUCCUGGUAGUGAUGCCUACUUCCAGGAAUUUGGGUGGAAUGGAUGGUGUAGUUAGAUGUUGGGGUUCCUGAUCGUGUUCUUUCUGUAUGAAGUGGAAUUAAGUUUGUUAUCUGAUGGAAUAGUAGUGGUGCUUGUUUAACUAUGUGUUCAAUUUAGUAUAUCUGCUCUUGAUUCUGGGUCUAUUUUAAGUUUUGUCCAUCCCAUUAUUAUGAGACACUCGCCCUUGUGAAGAUUGCGUUACUUUGUAACUUCUGAUCUGUGGUUUUGUGACUGGAGCAAUUUCGUUUUGGUUUCUGAAUUCUGAUUUAUUUUAGCUUUUCUGCCUGUGAUCUUGUUGCGGAAAGGGUUACCUCUUGAUGCUCAAUCUGCCGGUCAGUUUUAGGGGUUAGUAAAUUUCGCGUUAAUUGGGCGCCAUCUGGAUUUGGUAGCUCAAUUUUGACAGCCCAAGGCCUACCAUUUUGGGUUUGUGAAUUUGGGAGACGGAAGGUUCUGUCCUGAAAUGUUUGGCGGCACCAGAAUUUGGAUCCACAAUUCGAGAACAAAGUUACAAACAAUUUGGUCUCUCCUAAUUUACUUGCAGGCUUGCUGCGUCGGGUUCAAAAUUUGGGAGAUGGAGCCAUGGAGGGCUCGUGAAAUGUUUGGCGGGAUUUGUGUUUGGAAUUGUGAAACCGCCAUGUGCCAGCGUGUUUUGGCGCCUCUUAAAAAUUUCAUAGAUGGAACCCGUCUUAUGAGACGUAAACCUUUUUUUGUAAUAUGCGUGCCGGAGGUUUUUCUCGAUCACCAAAUCCCCAAACCCCAAUUCCCUUCGCCACCAUCUCCAAUUGCCGCCGCCUCCGCGUCUCGCCUCUCCUGGUUCUAGCUCCCAUCACCUCCGCAGCUGCCUCCCCGCUCUCCACCUUACCUCACCGCUAUCUCCAUCAUGAGCUCCUUCAUCAAAUCUUCGAGAAAUUCGCUGCGGAGGCCCCGCCCAGCUCCCCUGCUACAAGGGGUAAGGGGCCCAUCACCGCCUCUCGCGAGAUCCGCUACUCCGCCCGCCUUGUCCUCCCGGGUGUCCGAGGGCACCAUUGCCGUCAGCAAGUUCCCUCCUCUUUGCUAGGUUGCCUCUACUUGUUUCAAUACUACUUGGGUGGGUGUUGGCAGAGUGCCUCAGUUUAUCAGUUAGCAGUUGGUAGCAGUAGAAACAGUGAAUGGAGCUGGAAAGGGAUAAAUGGUAGUUUGUGCUUAGUAGGGAUGCGGUGGGUUGUGCUGCUACUUCACAUGGGUCUCAAUUCUGAAAUACUAAUGUUGCCUGUUAUACUAUUUUGGGAUUACUGUUUCCUGAUGGUUCAACUUCGUGAUUGGGUUGUGCUUUGUUGUGGAUUGAUGAUGAUUGCUGCUCAAAUAACUAAAACGAGUUAUGGAACAUCUACAUGUAAUCUCCUUUCCCCCCACAUUUUUACUGCUUAAGAUUUGAUGUACUGCAUUUGGCCGCCCCUCGGCCCGUAAUGAAAAUCAGGUGGGGUGCUCCCCCCCGUUGACCCUCAAAAAAAAAAAUUCCUCUAGUGAUCUGGAGCCUGAAAUUUAUGCAGUAAUGAGAGUUCCUAUUCAUGCAACCAUGCCUACCAGGCUACUAAUGCUUUCUGAGCUGUCGAUUCGAUAGUUUACACGAGGUUAAUUUGUGAUGACCUGCUUGCAGAGGAUGAAUUAUUAAUUUUGGCCGCUGCGUUGAAUUCGGACAUUAAGUUUGAACAACAUUUGAUUCUGAUUUAUUGACAGUGCAUCAAAAACUAUUUUUCUGUGCAAGGCUGUGCGGCAGCGCAAUAGCUUUAGUGCGUGGAGCUUCAAAUUCUGACAUCUAUGGUAAAUUUGCUUGACAACAAUUUCCAUAGGAGCAUCGCUAAGCUAACUGAAUUAUACAACACGUGGCAUUGGUUAUUUCAGGUUAUGCCCCACUAGGACCAUCUUUGCUUGCUGUUGCUGUUCUGAAUUUCCAUCCCUCCUAUGAGUGCUGGUGAUCUACCUGAAACAUUUAACUGGCUAGUAUGAGGUAUGUAUUGUGCCCAACAUUCAGCGCUGAUUGUUUGUUGCUAUCACAUUUCUCUGCACUGUGAUAUAUCAUCUUUCUGUUAAAUGCUUUCCUAUAGCUUACUGGAAAUUGAUUCCCAUCAUCCCAUGUAUCUCGAUUCUCGACGGUCUGCAUUCAACACUGGUAUGCGCCAUCUUAGGUGUCCCUUAGAGCAUGUUUAUCAUGUCCUGAUGUCCUGGUAUGCGUAUGUAAUGAAAUGUGAAAUUUGCAUACAUUAUUAGGCCCCGUUUGGUAGAGCUUCGGCUUCUCAUAAAACGGCUUCGACUUUGGCUUCUUCGGUGGAGUGGCUUUUUUAGUGAAGCUGAAGUCGUUUUGCAAAACGUUUGGUAAAACGGCUUCUCAAUGGCAAUAUAUGUAAUUUUAUGAUCACUUAAUGCUUGGAGAGAGAGGAGAAGCCGGUGAAGCCACUUUUUUCGGCUUCUCCUCUCUAGUGUAAGCCGUUUUGCGGCUUCUCCACGGCUUUGGUGGUGAAGCCGUUUUAAAAUUGACCCUUUGGUAGGGCUUCAUCAAAAGCCGGUGGAGAAGCACUUUGAGAAGCCCUACCAAACGGGGCCUUACUUUUGUUUUCAAUCUUAUGGAUAGAUAUGCAAUUCAAAGAUGGAGAUGCUAGUUCAGACUUCAGAGAGCAUAUGUGGCUUGAGUUAUUUCAGGUAACUAUAUAUGCUAUAGUACGUUGUGUUCUACUUUCUGCUGUGAUUGUUCCUCCUGCAAAUUGGUGUAAUUGGUGUCUCCUCAAGCUAAUAGGAUAUUAAUCUACAUGUGCAAAAAUUUGUGCUGCUUUAGUGGGUUCAACGCCUCCAACUGAACACCGUUCGGAGCAUCAUAUGCCUCAGCCAAACACACAACUCAGGUUAUCAAAUGCUGUCGCACUCGCACUCCACUCAAGUUGGUGGCGCUCUGCAUAAGAACAGAAAAGGCUGUCUUGUGUGCCUAGUUCUGAAUUUGAGAGGCUUUGUACGUAGACCAGGAAAAAGAGGAACUGUCGGCUACGGUCUGUAGCUGCUCGAAGGCGUAACCUUGUCCUUAAGAUUCGUGCGGAAGGAGCAUCUCCCCUCUUCCUCGAAUUCUCAAGUCCAAAACCCCACUUCCCCAAUCCCGCUACCUUCCCCAUCUCCGGUCUCCGAUGGCGUCCUCCCUCCUCCGCGCCUAAAGCCCAGGCCAUCCGCCCUGCGCCUCCACCGCCUCCUCCCGCUUUCCACCACCUCGGCCUCGGCCUCGCCCGCCGGCCCCCGCGCCCCAGCUCCGAACCUUAGCGGCCGCGGCAGCCACCGACGCCGCAGCGAGCCCGCCGGAGGAGGCGGCGGCGCCAGCGGAGGCUGGUGCGAAGGUCGAGAGGCUGCAGCCGCUGCAGUGGCCGCCGAGGGACGCGCUGUGCGGCGAGCUCGGCGCCGGGGACGCCGGGCGCAGGGUGCGGCUCUGUGGAUGGGUCGCGCUACGCCGCGCGCACGCCGGGCUCACCUUCCUCACCCUGCGCGACAGCUCCGGAAUGGUGCAGGUGGGUCGUUUUUUAAGUCGUGGUGGCUGCGUUAGUGAUGGUUUCCUGCAGUGCUGACUAUGCUGGGAGUUGUAAUCGUUGUUAGCUGCUACAGUACGUUGUUUUGUGAUAUCGUAUUUGUUAGCUCGUGAUACAUUGAUGUAGCUGCUGCUUCUGUACAGACAAACUCGCAAUUGAUGUUAAUUUCACAUUUCCCCUAAAAUUUCCACUGCUUGAUGUGUGUUUUCUGGAAUGAUUGUUGCAUCACUUAUUCCUGUACUGUUAAUUGUUGCGCUCGGCCACUAGCUUCAGCUAUUGUUCCCUACCCCCAAGUGAUCGGUAACCGCUUGCAGCUAACAGAAGGGCAAUGGAGCAGCAGUUUGCUGUUAUUAACGGCACUUGUCUUUGAAUGAUUUCUGCUCAGAAAGUGUGUACUUCUACGGUUGCUUAUGUUUCCUUAUUGUGCUUGCUACUGACGCCAAAUGAUCUGAUAUCUUCUAUAGCCAAACAAGUGUUCACAUUACCACUACAUUACUGGCAAUUCUUGUCCUAUCUGAUUUGUGGCUUAUGGUAAAACCGUCGGCAUUGAUUGGCAUAGUGAUAAUUCUUACAUGAUUAUGUAUGUAGUUGUUAUGGUUGUUGAUGUUUAUGUUAUUAUUGUCAAAUGAUCAUAGGGGUUUUUAUUUGGUACUUUGUGUAGGUGACAACAUUGCCAGAGUACCCAGAAGUUUACAAUAUAGUAAACAAGCUGAGAUUGGAGUCAGUGAUUGCUGUUGAGGGGGUGGUCCGGCCACGCCCGGCAGAUGCCAUCAAUGCAGAUAUGAAGACUGGGGCUAUAGAGGUAUUUGCUGUUACAUAGCACCUAAUUACAAUUGUUUUGAGAUCAAUAAGCUAGAGGUGACUUUUCAUGGCUUGAAUUUGAUAUUUACAUUAUCUACUAUAUUAAUAUUUCUGUUUAAGAAGUCCCCAUUUCCUUUAUGAUGUAUGUUUUGGACAUGCAAAAUGUAUGGGAUAAUUCAUAAUUUUUGUUGAUUUGAUUGGCAUCAACUUUUCUAUCUUCUUUUAUGUUCACCCAGAAACCGGCAUGAUUCUAACUAUAUUGCCGAUGUUGGUGCUUUGAAGGUUGCUGCAGAUCGUGUUUUAGUGCUUAACUCAGUAACUCGUUCACUGCCAUUUCCAGUUACAACUGCUGAAACUGUAAAAGAGAAGUUUCCGGAAGAAAUUAGAUUGAGGUAAAUCAUUUACAAUCUAUGCUCUCUGUCUCUACAAAUUUGUUUUUGCACCUGCCUUUUUGGAUAUAUGUGUAAGAAUGGUGAAUCACUCAAAUUAGCCACACUUAUCAAAAUUGUGCUGAUAUGUGAUUUGAUGGUGUAUUGAAGUACACAUAAGACUUCAGGUGAGAUAAUGCUUAUGCGGCUUAGGCAUUGUCAAGCACUUAUUCUAGCAUACCUGAUAUUUGCUAACUAUUGGGAGCAUGGCAUUUGUAUUUGGUAUAAUAAGAUGCAUUGUGAAUGCUAUGCAUAGAUGGCACAAAUUUGCAUGAUUGCCUAUCAUACUUUGUAACUGUGAGAUUGCUGUAGUAAUAUUCACUUCAGUAUACUAUAUGCUUAAUUAUGUUCAUGUAUAUAUUUGGAUUUUAUUCUUUUAAGUAGUAGCUUAUUUGAUAUUGUGAUGGAGGUGUGUAGAUGCAGUUUCGUCAGGUUUGCCAUCAUUCUGACUAUGCUAACUUGUAGCAACUUAUUUAACUAUGUCAAAGUAGUCAACCCAACCAUUGGAUUCUGCUGGACUAGGCUUCUUUCCACUGUCUGUAAUUUGCUUCUUGACCUGCUCAACAACUCUGUUCCAGAUAUUAAUGUUCUUGUCAAAAGAUAGAGCAUUCCUCUUAGCUGAAAGUUGAUCGUAUUGUUCUUAUUCUUUUCUCCUUUUGGCACUUAAUAUUACUGUUAUGAUAAAAAUUAUAUAAAUGACGUGUUUAUGCUCUCCCACUUUACGUAAUGUGCUUUUCUGUAACUUCCUAUCAUCGAAUAUUUUAGUUUUAGAGUGCUGGACUUGCGUCGUCCUCAAAUGCAGUCGAACUUGCGGUUGCGCCAUAAUGUUGGUAAACUCAUUCGUCGUUACUUGGAGGAUGAACAUGAUUUGCUGAGGUAUACCGAUUAAUCUAUUAUUACACAUUGAUUUUACUUGAAUUACCACAAUAUGUCCUACUUCUUGUCAUAUACCUGUUAUUUUCAUUUAGUAAUUUAGUGCUAGAUGGUCAAUCUUAAAUCGGGGCUCUAAUAUUUCAGCCUCUUAUGGUAGCAUCAUCUUUAAAGUCUGCUAUUGCUUGUAUCUUUUAACAAUGAAUCACUAAAUUUAAUGCACCGCUAGUUGCUAGGACAUCUCAACUACCAUGAGUCCAUGACUAUAAUAGCAUUACAAUUUCUACAUUUUUUUACUACUUAACUUUAAAACCUUCUAUUAUUUCUGAUCUAAAGUUACAUGUUAAGGUAGAUUGAAACUCCAGUUUUAUCCAAGUCUACACCAGAAGGUGUUCGGGACUAUCUUGUACCAUCAAGAGUUCAGGUGAUUAAGCUAUGUACAACUUUUCUGUUUCUUCACUGGCAAAUUUUCGUUUCCUCUGUUAAAAGACACAUUAUGCCCUUUGCAACUUUGAAGAUUUAAUGUCUUAUGUCAUGUUUGGACUUUGGAUGUUUUUCUGCAAAAGCAACUUUGUCCAAUAUCGAAUACUCUUGUCACAGUUUAAAAUGAACAUAUUUAGUUACAUUCUUCCUUUUUCAUUGUGCUUGUUGACUCUGAUGUUUGAGAAAAUUACUUUUGAGGUUUUAGUUCUGGAAGACUUACCAUGAAGUUCCUUUUUGGUGUUGCAUUCACUUCUGUUUUUCCAUUCUUUACGAAGUUGCUCCAUUCGAGCAUGUUACAGUAGUGUUUAUAAACCAUUCCAGCAUUCCCUCUGUCCAUCAACCUAAGGCGUAUUUGAAUUUGAAAAUGUCGAACUCUAUAACUUUUAACCAACAAAGUCAAAUUAUAUACAUUUUUAGUGUACAAAUUCAUAAAAUGAAUUAUAAGAUGAUAUUGAUUUUCUAUCAUUUGAUACUGUAUUGCAAGAUACUGUAUCUCAAGUGAAACUAAGAGUUGAAAUCUAGUUUUGAAGAGUUUCUCCUAGAAAAAAAAAUACAACUUACACUGUUGGAACUUGGGACAGAGUGAGUACACAUUAUCAUGCAUCAGAAAUAUGUUGCAAGUAACUGUUGGUGGGUUGGUCUAAUAGCUAGAUGGUGGUGUUUCUUACCUUUUCAAUUAAGUGCUACAUGUUCCCUGAUUUCUUCCAAUAUGGUUUCUGAAGCCAGGAACAUUCUAUGCUCUCCCUCAAAGCCCUCAGUUGUUCAAGCAAAUGUUGAUGGUUUCUGGCUUUGAAAAAUACUAUCAGAUUGCAAGGUAAUUGUGCUGUUUUCUAGAUAUAAUUGUGCUUUUGCUUGUUUUACAAAUUACAACUCUUCUGCCAUUAUCUAUGUUUAGCAUCCACAAUUUUUUGCAUAUGUCAAUGAGCUGAUUUUUUUUAAAUUUUUUAUUUCCAACUCUUCCAGACUAUAGGCAAAAGGCUCAUGGCACAUGCAUAUAUGAUCAUAUCCAGUUGGCAUAUAGUAGUAUUAAACCAGUUAACUACUCUUUUAAAAGCUGCAUUGCAUGAUUCUUAUAGGUGCUUCCGGGAUGAAGAUUUGCGUGCAGACAGGCAACCGGAGUUUACACAACUUGAUAUGGAGAUUGCCUUUACGUCAAUGGAGGAUAUGUUGAAGUUGAAUUAAGAUUUGAUGAGACAUGUAUGCUGGUUUUGACAUACGUUUGCCCUCUUUCUUUCCUAUCAAAUUGAAACUUUAUUUGAGAGUACCUGCCCCUUUGACCCUUGCCUGUCAGUGGUUGCCAUGUGUUAACUACAAAUAGUGUUAAAACAUGUUCUUUUUUUUUUAAAAAAAAUGAGACAAUCUGUGACUCCAUUUGCUGAUUGUGUGAGUUAGUGACACAUUAAAUAGUUUUAGCAAAUCAAGCUCUUGGUUCGUUGUUCAGAAAAUGUCAUUUUUUCUUCACUACCACCACUGUUUAUGGUUGAAUUAAUGAAUGAUAGAAGAAUUCAUAUUGCAGGUUUUUCAAGCGGUAGGAGAUAUCAAGCUGCCAAAUCCAUUUCCAAGGUUAACAUAUGCAGAGGCAAUGGACUGCUAUGGCACAGAUAGGCCUGACCUUCGGUUUGAUUGGGAACUGAAAGAUGUGAGAAUUUCUGACCUUUCUGCAGACCUUUGUAAUUGUGAUAUUAAUGAUUGAAGUAGUUAACUUGUGUCCAGAAUUCACAUUAGCACUGUUUGUGCUGUACUCGUAUUGCUGUACGGUUUUUUAGUGGUCUAUCCUGCAGAUCUUAUGCUGCUUUUGCUAUGCAGCAUACACGUCGAACAUGUGCUAAGAACUUUUCUCCUGGUUAAUUUAGUCACAAAAUUGAUCCCCUCAUUCUUAUUUGGUCCAGGUUAGCGAUGCAUUUUUGGGAACUAGCUUCAAGGUUUUUGCCGAUACAUUGGAAAAUGGAGGUAUAAUAAAGGCACUGCAUGUUCCUGGUGGUGCCACAGUGUUUUCAAACACUGACCUAAAGAAAGGAACUGUUUACACUGAAGCAUCCAAAGCUGGAGCCAAGGCCCUGCCUUUCCUCAAAGUUAUGGAGAAUGGUAAGACAAAAAAGUCUUUGCUCUUCUGUUAGACAAAUUUUAUGGCAUUGCUUACACAAUUGUUUUGUAUAUAAAUUUAUCUGCUUUCACAGGAGAGCUUGAAGGAAUUGGUCCGCUGGUAUCGAGUCUGAAACCUGAAAAUAAAGAACAGCUUGUGGAACUUCUGGAUGCAAAGGCGGGUGAUCUUAUCCUGUUUGCACUGGGUGACCGAUCAUCAACUAACCGGAUUCUUGGCCGGUUAAGAUUAUUUAUUGCUCAUAAGCUGGAAGUGAUAGACACGGUGAGUCACGAACUGAGGAAUAUCCUUAUUGUUGAUUUGUUGUAUACAUUACUCAUGGCAUAUCAAUGAGAUGCUGUUGUUCUUUGACAUUUUUUAAUAUAUUUUGAGAAUAGUUCUGUUUCUUCUUUAAACUCCUGACAUCUACCUUUGCAUUUUCUAGUCAGCACAUUCAGUUCUUUGGGUGACAGAUUUUCCAAUGUUCGAAUGGAACAGUGAUGAACAUAGAUAUGAGGUCAGUUGUUUUUAAUCUUCUAUCAGGGAAUUAUACUGCUUAAUUAUUUGUACUUUUCCAAACUAACAUGGUUAUUACUUACUGUUUCUGAUCACAUUAUUUUAGACAGCUCUCUAUACUUUGUAUCUCGAAAGAGCUCGAUAUUAUAUCAUGUUGGCACUUGACAUUACACCAUUAGUAGAACUUGGUGCAGUAGGUUAUGACAUUUUACCACCAGAAUACCCACCAUUAUUGAAAUCAGUCUUCAGAGUUUGUACAUGUAAUCCUAGCAUGUUAUGGUACGGCACACACACCAACAACAAACAUAUUGAAGACAUACCACCAGACAAUAUGUUCCUUAUGUUACAUGCUAAUGUCAAUUGAUUACAGCAGAUGCCCACUGUUCUAAAAUUAGGCCCAGUACAGUUAGAAUUUGCAAGUCCCUAGAAGUAGCCUUGUCUGAUUUUCUCUUUUCGGAGUAUGCCUAUUUUUCUGCAUUUAUGAACACAAGGCUCUACACCAUCCUUUCACCACACCAAAUCCUGAAGAUAUGAAUGAUCUACCAUCAGCUCGUGCCCUGGCUUAUGACAUGAUUUACAAUGGCGUGGAGGUACAUUCUGUUUUCAUCUUUCUCAGUGUACAUGCAAGCUAACUUUAUAUAUUGCCUUAAUCUCUUUUAGUCAUAUGAUGCACCCUAAAGUUCACUAUUACUACUGAUCUUAGUUAUUCAUUUUUUUGUUUAUUAUUUUGCUUAACAAAUUUUCAUACCUUCUCACAGAUGCAAGUCUCAUCCAGCACGUGUUUCAGAAAAAAAGACUAAUGCACACAUUUUAUUUACAUAUUUUACCCAUGAUCUAUCGAAUCGAGUAGCCCUUUGAUUUCAAACUAAUGUUUAUUGUAGCAUUAGACCUAGGAUUUGACAUAAACUUUGAAUCAGGAAUCUUAAUCAAGUUACAGCUGAGGAUACAUAUUGCAUGCUGGCUGGCAUUUGGACAUAUGAAUCAAUGUUCAAUACAAUUUAUUUUUUAUGAAGUACAAGCCGAGUUCUUAUUUGAUUUCUGUUGAGCUUUUCUUGGAUACAAUAUGGGUCCCUAAAUGAAGAUAAUAUUCAUAAAUACUUACAACCUUGACCUUACACAUGGUAACUCACUUCUUUAUUGAACUGCCUGAGUGUGUGCCCCCUUUUUCUUGUACUAGCAAUAAUUUGUCAAAUAUAUGAUAUAUCUGUGUUACUGAAAUAUAUGCAAAAGAUUGCUAGAUUUAAUGAUGUAGAGAUAGUUGAAAAAUAUACGAAACAUCUAAUAUUUGGUCCUGUUAUUAAUAGAUUGGAGGUGGCAGUUUGAGAAUCUACAAAAGUAUGUACAACAAAGAAUUUUUGAGAUCAUUGGUAUCUCACCUGAACAGGUAUGACUUCAUCUGUCUGCUUGCCCUUCAUAAGUUCAUGCCCCCAUUAUGGUAACAAGCAUGCUUUUAGUUCUCAAAUAUCGCAUACAUUGCGUUAGGUGAAACUGAAAAAGGCAGUAAUAAAUUUGUUGAGAAGAGAAUGUGUCCGGCUGCUACAUUUUGCCUGCUUUUGCUCACUCAAAGCAUAGCAAGGCAUAAUUCUGAAUAAUGACACGUUUAAAACUUUUUAUGAUAAUUCAUCACAUGACUCCUUUUCUGCCCCUCCCCACCCUCACCCCACCCACCCAACUGUUUGGUUCAUAUAUGUACCUCUAAAUUCAGGAGAAAUGCAAGUUCCCCAAUGGGCUUUCAUAUGGCUGCAUGUUAAACUGUUUACCAAGAGUGUGCUGGUAACUUUGAUAUUGUACUUGUAUGGACAAUUUGUUUACUUCAAGUACAAGGUAUCAACUUAUGGCACCCCAGGGAAUUCGAAUUUGUUCCUUGAAUCUUUAAAUAAAAUGCUCCAAUCAAGUUUUGACACUAAUUGUUUGGCAGCCUUGAAUGGCUUAUUAGAUGACCAAGUUAACAGAAUCGAAUUCACUGUAGGUGUUUAUGUUCACAAAUUUGAUGGCUAAAGUAAUAGAAUCAUCAGCAUCGUAGGAUAAUGGUAUCUGAACUGGCAACUUUCUGCGAACAUUGCAUUUUUUAGUCCAACAUUCUGCUCAAGAUUGUUAGUGUGGUGCUCAUUAUUUCGUGAUCUCUUAACAUAUUGUUUCUUAUUUCCAAUGCAGGCAGAGGAGAAAUUUGGCUACCUUUUAGAAUCUUUUGACAUGGGCGCUCCUCCACAUGGUAUGCGUGUUCAUUGUUGUACUUCAAAAAAAAAAAUCAAUAUUGUAUUCAGUUUUACAGUUCAGCUAGCGUGCAGAACUAUCUCUUGUGUUUCUGUUGUUUCACUAAGCUGUUAUUGCCCUCAUAUCAUAGCAGUCCUUUCAAAACAAUUCCACUUGUCAUAUGCCUUCUGACACAUUCUUGAUUCUUUGAUAGGCCAAGGCUCAUGCUCACUAUUCUAGAGCUAUGUAUAUCAUAUGUUGCUGUACUAGUGUUUCUGUUUCCUUAUUAUUCUGGUGCAUUGGACAUUUUACUGACCCUCAGCAACUUAAGGAUCUCGCCUUCCCAAAGCCUACUUCGUGAGACACUGUUCAAAAAUUUGGGGGCUGAAGGACAGCUAUAGUUGGUUCCAGUUCCUUCUAUAUUUUGAGCACAUUCUAGUUUUCCAUGGUAGGGAAUGUGCUUUGUUUCACGAGAAUUUUCUGACCCUGGAAAAUCUAUAGAAGAUGCUAGACGCAAAGUUUUGGAAAUAUGGAAUCGUGAGGGUUCCGAUAGAUGCUACGCGUUUGUGUACAUGUUUGUCUCUGUAAAUUAUUUAACAGAGUGUGCAUUUUUUUUUUUUGCAAAAUGUGAACUGUAGUGUCCCGUUUGUUGCAUAAAUGACCGGGUUUUUUUUUUCGUGAAACCAAGAUUUUUUCCAGGCAUGCUUGGGAAUACCUGGUAACAAACAGCUCAACUCCAUUUGCUUGGAACACAAAUCCUGUACCACGGUUACCGAAACAUGCUUCAUGUUUCACUGUCAGUUUUCUCACUACAGGUUUCGUAGACUCGUAUAUCGGUGAUGUUUUACAGAUCAUCUGGAUGAAAAGCGUUGCCAUUUGCCAUUGAAAAAAGUCCAUUUUGCCUCCUUCAACUAUCACGAAAGUCAGGUUUUGCUCCCUCAACUACAAAACCAUAUUACCCACCUCCCUGAACUCACUAAAACCGGUUAUUUUUCCUCCCAAGGUGGUUUUAUCCUAGUACUAAGCUGAUCUAGCGUUGACUUGCUCAGAUUUGAUGAAGUUGGAGUUCGAUAUGAAUAUAGGAGUGUUCAAUUUGGUAGAAUUGGACCUUAGUCUGGCUAGAUUUAGUAGUAUCGGAGUGAAGGUAGAGGGGAAUGGGCAGAGAACAGUGUAUGCGAGCUCAUCACGGGCAGCCUCCAACGUGCGCUGAUGGACAGCUUGGAUGACAAUAUGGAUGAGGUCCUGCAUGAUGUUCUCCUCAAGUGGGCAGGCGGAGCUUGGCCACUCUGGAGCCAUCACGGGUGAGGUGGGAUGGUGUGUGGACGUGGACAGAGCACAGUUGUUGCCAAGCGCAGGGUGGAGGCAGAUGUGGAGCACAGUCCCCCAUUGUGGAGCGCUAGGAGGAUAAGUGUAUUCACGAGGCACGGAGCAGGGUGAGGCAGGCCGAAACAAGUCUGGCUCCGGCGGAUCCACGACCAUCAAGCUCGGGCCAAGGCGAGGGUAGAGGCUAGGCAAAGCUCACCGGGUAGUCGCGUGCGAGCCGAGGUAGAUGUGCUAGCGCGUAGGUGGGGCUGCAACUGUCCAACCACCGUGGUUGAAAAGUUAAGCGGAGCAAAGACCCCUCUGAGCUGCUGGCGCAGGGCGAAGCUAAAGUCACUAGUGUGGAACAGCUCAAGGAGUGGCUUUCGGCUUGGGAGAUAUCGAAAAAAACGAGGGGAUAGUAUGGGAAAGAGAAGAGGUAUGUGAUUAAAAAAUACUGACAUGUGAGGCCCAUUACCACAUGUCAAAAACAUUGCCAUGCCAACGUGGUGUCAGCUCAAAAAUGGUUUGAUAUCUGGUUUAGGGAGGUUUGAUAUUGGUUUUAUAGUUGAGGGAGCAAAAUAUGACUUUGAUAGUUGAGGGAGGCAAAAUAGACUUUUUCCUUUGCCAUUUUACCGAAGAAGGAAAUAUUUUUGAUGGGCCUAAAUAUGUACCCAUACGAUAGUUGAGGGAGGCAAAAUAGACUUUUUCCUUUGCUAUUUUACCGAAAGAAGGAAAUAUUUUUGAUGGGCCAAAAUAUGUACCCCAUACAAUCCGUCCGUCUGGCCCGGCCCAUAAGCCACCUUGCCGUCUUGGGAUCGCGAGGCGGGGGAGGGGAACGCGAGAGACUGGUUACUUGUUUCUCCAGACCCAUCAUCGGCGAGUGGGCGGGUGAUCGUCUUCCCUGCGGCGCCGCCGGCGGGGCGGGUGAUCGAUCCAUUCCAUUCCAUUGGACUCGGAGGCCAGAGAGGAGAGGGGACCACAUCCCACAACGGUAGGCUCCUCGAUCCCCUACUUUUCGGAUGCGAUGCAAUCACUUUUUUCGUUCCCAGGACAAGUAUUCGAAAUCCUCAAUCUCAUGUGUGCUUCCUUGUUCUUGUUCUUUCUCGGCGGCGGAAAGGCGCGGGACGUGAACGAGAGGGACGCUAUGUACGGGUACGGCUGUGGGGAAGCGGGACUGCGGAGCGGCACUGGGCGUUGCCGAAGCAUAAGCAUAACGAGGUUCACCGGAAGGCCGAGCCGGGAGCAUAUCGUCCCGCCAAAUCAAUCCACGUUAGAGAUAUGCGAGCUUCCUCUACGGUACGCUCCUUGAUCCCCUUCCUGUGCGACGGUUAAGUUGUUCGUUGUCGUGAACAUGAAUAGGAAAAAUCCUUAAAUCUCAUUUGUGCUCAUGGCUGGUGCUGCGGAGGAGAUGCAGUCGAUGAGCAGUGGCAACAUUGAAGGGGGCAAUAUUGGGGAUGUGUACAAGAUGAGCAUAAGCGGAAUGUACCAGCUGGCCACUCCGGCAGAGAUCAAGCAUGGUGAUAUGGCUGUGGAGGAAGACGAGAAGGAAUGGAGAUUGGAUGAACGGGAUAAGGCUCUGAUGGUGCCCAACCUCACAUGGGAGAAGAAAGUGCUGAGGGUUCUUCACAUGGUCCGCUGCCGAGAGUUAAUUGAAUUCAACCACAAGCUGAAUUACUCUACUCCUACCCGCUUUUGUGAAUUCAACAUAGCCUUCUUCGACCUCGAUAAAGAGUGUGAGUACAUUCACAUCAUAGCCUUGUUGAUUUGUCUUCCUUGUUCCUCCUCAUUGAGUUGCAUACAUGUAUAUAUCCUAGGAUUAUUGUAUGGAUGCAUGCUCUUUGGCUAUUUGUUCAUCAUAUACAUUGAUUAUAAACUUUUGCACAGAAUAAUAUUCUAGGUUUGUUUUCUGUCUGUGGCUUUAAUUUUACAGCGGAAGUUAUGCAUGGACCACUGUUUUAUGAUAUCCCUGAGUCUGAUUAGUGGCGCUUGGAUGAUUCAAUCAAUGUCAUCUCAAUCACGGUCGCUGAGUCUGAAUUGAGUGGCACCAUCAACAUAUAUGGCACCGUGCUAGCAAGGGAUCAGUAUGACUAUAGAUGCAUACAUUUAUUCAAGCGUGGUAGGGAGGAUUCCCAACCCAUCUCACCGAAGGUCUGUAUACGCUAUUCCUUUUAGUAGAUUAUAAUACUAUUUACUGAUCAAAUCAGAAUGCUGUUGUCAGUACUAUUAAUUAAUUUGAAUCAUCUUAUCUCUAAGAACUGUUUGACCAUUUGCUACUAUGUAGUUUUUACAGUAUUCAAUUCUAAAAUUUUGACAGCAUUAUGAAGUGAAAUUCAGAGAGUUACGUAGUUUCAUAGGGUUCACACAAAUAUGCUAGUCAUGCCGCCCACACAUUCCUGUGUUAUUUUCAAGAGCAGUACAGUGGUUUGGCUCCUGGUCAGGGAAAAUCCUUCUGCCAUAUAUUUAACGAUGCCAUCAAUCUCUUACUGUCUGAUCGAAUUCCCAAAAUGUCUUUGGGUGCAUGCUACAAUAGCAAAGCUAUCGUUCCACUUCAUCAAUAGAACAGGUUUGUGGAUUACUGAGUACAGUUACAAGGACUCUUGCUUCCCUGAUUCUUGUGACUUGUGAGAUUGAAUUGCAUGAUUCCUAUCUCAAUGCCCUGGUGCUUUAACACAUAUUUCUUUAUUCCAUUGUAAAUGCAAUGGUUUUUUAUCAUCAGGCAUCAUAUUUAGACGUUUGGUGGAAAUGAAAGAAUUUGUCUUGGUGCCUUGUUUGUGUGCACGCGUCUGUUGCUAGCAACAAAAUCGAUUGUGCCCUUGUUUUUUAGUAUAAGAGUGGGAAACAUACCACCCAAAGAUCCCAACCUUUGAAAUUUAUACCUUGAGUAGACACUGGCAUGGCUUCGUUAUCCACCAAAAGAAUUGAUUCAUCCCAAAGAAAUACCACCUGUAUUCUCUCUGCAAACUUUUGGCUCAUUGAAAACAAGAUUUGGUCCUCAAUGUUUGAGAGAAUCUGAUUCACACAUACAUACAGCGCUCUCUCUUCUCUUGGAAAAAGGAAGAAUCCUGUACAAUAAGUCGCAUAAUAUCAUAAUCCAGUUGGCUCUCAUUACCUGAUUUAAAGGGUGAGACAGAAGCUGACAGUUGUUAUAAUUUAUCAUGUCUUGUGUCUUCUGCUGUUAUUUAUGUGAACCUAAUUCUUUUCUUGGUAAAUACAUAGAGCUCAUAUCUUUGUGUGGUAUCUACCCAGGUUUAUCAUGACAUAACCUUGAGUAUGGUCUGAAUUACAUUUGACUUAUCGAGCUUGGUUCCUUUUUAUGCCAUUUUUUUACAUGUUUUCACCUAAUUUACUUUGCAGGAUAAUACGCUAACUUUAACAGGCCCAAAUCAAGCACUUGCUGGAUUAGCCAGUAUGUAUUUUGAGUUCCAUUUAAAGGUCAAGGGCGAGGGGGCAGUCGACCAAGAUUUCAGCAAAGGUUUGAUGGCUAGCCAUGAAAACGGACGGAAACGGGCGAAACCCCUCUCCAGUUUCCGCUCCCGCACUUCAUCGUCGGGAGCGGGAGCGGGACAGCCGGGAGCGGGUUAUACAGGUGUAUGGAAAUGAACCAAUACGGUCGGAAACUCAAUGGAAAUGGAUGGGAACCGGGAACUUUAGUCGGGACACACAGACCACACUAACCAUAGUUAGACACGCACAACACAAAAACACUGCUAUUGCCAUGCUGUUGCUGCGCGUGUGCUGGCGUGCUGCUGUGCCUAUGCAGUGCAUCAGUGCAUGCGCUGUGUGCCUGUGUCUGUGAGACUGUGGUUGCAUCUCACAAGUCACAAGACCAACACAGCAACACAAGUCACAAGACCAACACAGCAACACAACAGGCAUUCAGGCAACAGGCCAACAACAAGUCAGCACUAGGCCAACAGCCAAGAGCCAACACCCAACAACAAAACAACCAUAUGUUAGUAUCGGACUUGGGUUGUUGGGUUGUAGUUAGCUGAUGGGCCGAAUAUUUGGGUCAAAUCCGGGUUAAGUCCGGGUCCAUCCCGAUCAAAUACGGGACACCGGGAAUCCGACCAGGAUGGAGCCUUCCCCGUUUCCAUCCCGCUCCCGCAGCCCGUCGACCCGUGACCCAUCCCGAACCCGGAUUUUUCCCGAAAAACAAAAACGGGCAGGUUAAAUGUGGAAAACGGGGCGGGUCGGGAUGGGAUUUUACCUGUCCUUUUUCAACCUUAUUGAUGGCACGCAAUGCCUGCUGUGAUACAGGUGAACCCAGGACUUUAUCACUAGAAAGUUACCUAAGUAAAGUUGAUAUGGUGUAUACACCUGUUUCUUAUGCUGUGGAAGCUUCUCUUGGAAUCAAUAUUUUGAAUGGGAAAUCUAAUUUCAUUGGCAAAGUAAUUGCUCAGACUACAAAUGAUGAAAACGAAAUCAUUCUGUAUGACAGUGGAGUGGCAGGCACCGAGACAGAACUUGGAUACGGUGGAUUUGUUAAGUUAGCACGUUCUGUAGUAGCAGUCCCACGGGAUGAAAAACUGAUGCUCAGGUUUACUGUUUCUGGGGGUGACCAUAAAUCUUUAAGCCUUCUGCGUCCCCGAUGGAAUAGUGUUGAAGCACUUAUCACCAAGCUAGGCCCUUACAAGAUGCAGUUGAAAAUUAUUUAUAAGGGUGUCUUAAUGCAGCGCCCCAACCUGUUUGGGGAUAUUGGGGACAGUUUAGUGUUACGGUGAUAUGAUGUGAACGUAUGUGGGAAUGCUGUUAACAUCAAAUGGGCCGUUUGCUCUGACACUUCAGUGUUAGUAUUUGGAGAGUAUGGUCGGCUGUAGGUUUAUAUUAAACGACUAAGCUAACAGAAUGGAAGUCAUUGUAGGUGUGUAUGUUUUUACAAAUUCGAUGGUCAAAAUUAUGAAACUACCAGCAUCGUAGGGUAAUGGUAUUUGAACAGGCAAUCUUCUGCAAAGAGCAAACGUUGUGUUCUUUUUUCCACUUUCUGCUCAAGAUUGUUAGUGCUGAGAACAUGCUGAUGGCUGAUGCUGUAUUUUGGUGAUGCUCGUUCUUGAAACAAAUGUUAGAACAAACAGCACACCUUCAUAUGUUUCGAACUCAAACCAUGCACCCAGCUAGCUACAGAAGAUGCUUCUGCGAGUUUCAUUUGCACCGUACAGCCAUCCAGACGAAAAGCAUUCGACAUUUAAUUUGCUACUUUGCUAGAGACUCGAACUCGAUGAGCAUGGUAGUACUCUAUUAGCUUGCUACCGAUAAGAAGUUACGAACACAGCAACCAGAAACAUGGCAGCUACUAAUUCCAUCUCCUCGAUCUCAAUCAACCUAGCAAAGUCUUCCUCGAGGAAUUACUACUCCCGAACGACCGCUGAUCAGAGCCGCCGGCGGCGGCGCGCUGCCGGGGCGACGGCGGGAAGGAAGACGUCGGUGAGCGCCGUCUUGGAGUUCACCGCAGCCAAGAGCAGGCUCAGGCCCUGGAAAGCAGCACGGUACAACGAACAACAGGCGAUUAAGCUUCAGCAGCGCAGCAAACAUGAUACGAGCGACGUGAUCGUGAAUCCUAGCAACGACGAGGAGGCGACAGACGACGAGACGGCACCUACCUCCUUGUACCCGAAGAGCACGGUCUCCUCGCGCACGUCGUCCGCGUCGGCCGCGACGCCGAGGGCGGAGAGCAGCGAGGCGCCGGUCAGGCCGGCGGCCACGGGCCUGACGGCGAGGUCGUCCAUGAUCGCGUAGCUGGUAGUAGUAGUAGGAGGAGGAGCCCCGUCCUCGACGCCGGACCCCGCGUCCGGCCGCGCGGAGAUGGCGGAGGAGCCCUCGGCGUCGCCGGCCUUGGCGGCGCACUUGACCGCCACGGUGGUCCGGCCGCCGCACAGCGGGCACUCGACGCCGCGCUCGUCCGUGACGCGGAACCGGCACGGGAAGACGUCGCGGCCGGCGCCGGCGCCGCCGCGCCUCUCGCCGCGCGGCAGCGGAAGAAGGUGUCCCCGCUCCGCCCGGCGCCGCGGACCCGUCGGGGCGGCGGUAGAAGUAGGCCUCGAGGAAGUGCAGCUCCGCAUCGCGCCUGGUGGCGGCGCCGGCGCAGGACGGGGACUUGCAGGGGCACGCGGAGCCGGCCUCCCGCGACGCGACGUCGAUGCAGCGGCACCCGAGGUGGGCGCACCGGAAGAGGCGCCGCGCCAUGAUGCCCAUGACCCUCGGCGCGGAGGCUGUCGACGCCGGUGGAGGCAGCGCGCGGGAGGAGGAGGAGGUGGUGGUGGUGGAGGCGGCGGUGGUCGGCGUGGUCGUGGAGGGCGGCAUCUCGUGGAAGCGCGGGGAGCACGCAACCACCACCCAACCCAACGACGACGAGCUAGGGCUCAAAACAUAGGAAUAUGAAAAAUGUAGGAUUAGAGUUGAUUGUCAAUUGCAAUCUUAUAGGAAUUUAGAAUAUAAGAAACUUUCCAAUUGGUGUUUGGAACAUAGGGAAAACAUAGGAAUUUGUGGAGAGAUAGACAAAAAUAGUUUCUAAAAAAUUGGACGUCAUGUUAGAUUUCCUCCAAAAUCCUUAUAGAUUGGGGUAUUCUGUAGGAAUUUUAUAUGAUUCUUGAUGUCCAAUCCUUUGUUCCAAAAGGAUAUAUAGGAAACGUUCCUAUAAGACUCAAUUCCCAUAAAAUUUAUACCUCAAACGUGUGAGAUUUAGUUAUGUCUCAAUUACUUUUUUGACUGUUCGAUUGCAUAUGAAUAGCUCAGGUCUGCUUUCUCCCUCCCUCUCACUUAUCUUCUUUCCAGCCGCCUCCUUUCUCCUCUUCAUCUCCCCCGAUACCGCAUCCUUCCCUCUCUCCCGCGAUGCCGCCACCGCCUCGCUAGCGCCGUCCCGAGUGCCGGCAAGGUCCGCCGUCGAGCCCCCGCCCCCACCGCUCUCCCUUCUCCUCCCCCUCCUACUCCACCACCGAUGACCGCUCGCCCCCGCCUUUGCCGCCGCCCUACUCGUCUCCGGCGGCGGGGCCGUCGGAUCCACCACCGCCAUCUCGACCACUCCCGCGCUAACCCGUUGAUGGCGCUCGCCCCCGCCUAGACAGAGGUCCUCCGCCGCUCGGCUCCGGUAGCGCCCACGCCACCUCCGCUCUCCCGCCAUCUCGAUCGCCAACACCGCCAGCUGACUAGCCGCACCGAAGCCUCCUCUAGGCCUGAAGACCACAGGUAACCCCACUCUCCAACCCCAAACCCAGAAUCCGAACUCUAGAGCUCGCCGGAUGCUAUUGCCGGAGCUAUGGGAGACAACUCAUAAAAAAGUGAUUGAGACAAACUGAAAAAUCAAGCAUUUGAACUCUAGCAAAUCUAUUGUUCCAAAGGAGGGUUUAAACCGGAGGAGCAUAAGGCAGGCAGGCGGCGGGCUCCUCUGUCGCUGCGGCCGCGAGUGGCGUACAGCAGAAGCCAGAAUGCACUCGGGUGCGUUGCGUUGGAAGAGACGCUGAGGCAGGAGGGGAGGACAGCGGGGAGCGGGCCGGGGAGGCGCAGGCGGCCGGCAGAGGGAGGCUGGCUGGGUGGGCUUGCGGGAGAAGCAGGCCGCGCUAGGCCUGCAGGUGGGCUUGGCAUGCAGACAGAGUAGCCUUUUGCAUUCAGGCACGGUUCCCGCAGCAUCCACCGUCAUGCCGCUUGAGGCCAAAUCCGUUUCGCCAAAGAAAAAAAAACGGUUCCACCAUCCACACACAAACAGGAAAAGAGUGUGUGUACAGUAGUACACGUUCCGUGCCGUUACAGCAAAAUUACCAUGACGAAUUUUUAGUGCAAAGUAUCCGUCCGAGCCCUAGGCCUUUUCCCGUACCCGUACACUAGCUAGGCAAGGGGUAAUUUGUGUUUAGGGUUCGCAUUAGAGAGAUGGCACCGGCAUCUCCAGCAGUGUUAGGGACGAGUAAAACGACGGAAACGCGAGUUCAUCAAUCAGGAUCGCUAGAUAAAAAUAAUUAAACUGGUCAUGUUAUAUUUGAUGAGUUUGCAUUGAUGAAUGAUCCGUCACAAAUAGUUUAUUGAUUAUUGAGUAAAAUUAAUAAAAAACAUAUUAUUUAACUUGUUGUCAUAAUGAUUCAACCACCAAUCAGUUUAAUGCCCAAAUACAUUAUGGCUCCACAAGUAAAUUAGUAAAAUAAGAGUAGUCUAAUAGCACGAUCACAUAAGAAUAGCCACAACACUUGAAUACACACAAUAUACAGACAAAAAAAAACACAAAUAGUUAGAUCAAUAGUUGCACAAAGACGUAGUAACAAUUAAAAAAAAUUACCACUUUUUGUUAAAUCAAACGUGUCGUGUAAACCACUAAAACUUAAAGUUCCAUAAAAUUAUCUCGAUGGCUCAAUACUUUCAUUAAAUGUUAUCCAAUCCCUCUCAAAGUCCUUUAAGUUCAAAUUUAUAAAAAUAAAAUUUCCAUAACCUGAGUAUGCACUUUGUUUGGAUUUAUUUUGAACAUCUUUGGAUUCCUUAGUGGAGUCUGAACUUAAACUUGGCUCAUUCAAACUUAUCAGUACUUUUGAAAAGAAAACAAAGAAGUCUACUUCAUCUAUGUCUUCUCACUGAAUUCGUACUUGUAAAAAUGGAGAUAUUUUUUUUCCAUUUCCAUAUUUCAUAUCUACUUGCCAAUUUGAGAACUUUUUCUAAUAUCCAAGCCAUAACUCUCAACCCCCUUCAUCUUUUGGCUUGUAAACUGUAUAUAUCUCACUAACCAUCGUUACUUCUUAAUAGAGACUCCAAGCUCCGCCCCGUUCCUUAGUACUCCCUCCAUCCCAAAUUAUAAGUCGUUUUGAUUUUUUUGGUACAUCCACUUUGCUAUGCAUCUAGACAUAUUGUUAUAUCUAUAUACAUAGCAAAGUGAAUCUAUCAAAAAAGUCAAAGCGACUUAUAAUUUGGGAUGGAGGGAGUACAUGUUACUGCCGGAUCAUUGUUGUUAAUACCAAGGGCGUCAUAUUAAAGCAUGCACGCAAUGAAAGUUCACUAUAUGUAUAUCCACGAGGAGAGUUUGGUUUGAGGAGGAUCGUCGAUAGUUCAUUCGUAUCGUAAGGUCUAAGCUUUAACUAAACCAAUUUGUUUACUUUUAGAAUGCCAAUAGAUUGAUGUUUCACCAACUUAUUUUCGCAGCCCUAUAAAUAGCAUCUUAAUCCCUCAAGCUAAACACAUCAUUAGCCACUGUAGGAAAGCUGGCUCAAGAAGAAGGCGGGCGUCUAUGUUCGAAGCUGAGAGGCCAUAGAGCUUGAUAACCCCUCUACUGUUUAUGCGACUGCGAACCACCCCUCUGCUAUUUAUGCGACCGCGAACCUCCGCAACAGAGAUACCCCUCUACUAUCUAAGCUAGAACUUGCAGUAGAGAUUACCCCUCUACCGGCAACCGCGUGAUUUCGUAGUAGAGAUACCUCUCUACCAUCUAAACAAUACCCCACAAUAAUAGAGAUUACCCCUCUACCAUCUAGGUAAGCGCUCGACUCUGCAGCAGAGAUACCCCUCUACCAUCUCAGCAAGUGCUCAAACCGCAAUAGAGAGUACCCCUCUACCAUCUAGGCAAGCGCUCGACUUUGCAACAGAGAUACCCCUCUACUAUCGCAGCAAGCGCUCAACCCGUAAUAUAGAUUACCCCUCUACCAUCUAAGCAAGCGCUACCCCACACUAGAGUUGGAGUAGAAGCGCUUAAGGCACAUGUGGCUUCAGGAAGCAGAUCAGUCAGAUCACUCACGGUCUAUAUAUCCUUGCUCCAUUCUCACCCCAAAUCUAUGUAUCCUAGCUUGCUCUAGCUCCAUCUGUCGGAGCGCACACGUCUAUCAUCCAAGCGCGUCCAAUGGCUUGCGAAAGCAUUAGGGUGACGGCCGCCGCCUAUGCUUGCGAAGCACACGAGUGCACCCGUAUGCAGGGGCGGAUCCAGAACGGGGCUGCGCCCCGGGCUGAGCUGUUGAAUCACACCUAAAAUAGUCUAAUUUUGUCUCCUAAGCCUCAUUUUAUUAGGCUAAACAGCACAUAGUUUAAAGGGACUCCAUGAUCUCGCCCCGAGCUGCAGCCCGGGCAGCCCGGGCCCUGGAUCCACCCCUGCCCGUAUGGCUGUGGGUUUGCCAUGGGCCAUGGCCCAUGGCGAAUGGCGCUCUAUAUAUUCGUGCAACGAGAUCCCUCACUUAUCCAUCGAGCAACCAGCUUACAGCUUGCAAGCCAGCAAGCUCUAACAUUCGAUCGGAUGGCAACCACCAACAUGACGACGCUUAGCAUGAAGCUCCUCAUCGACAGGAAGGCGCAGCGCCUGCUGUUCGCGGAGGCGAGCAAGGACGUCGUGGACUUCCUCUUCUCCCUCCUCGUCCUGCCCGUCGGCGCCGCCGUCAAGCUGCUGGGGAAGGAGGCCGCGGCUGGCAGCGUCGGCAACCUCUACGGCAGCGUCGAGGGCCUCGACUACGCCUACGUCCAGCCCGGCGCGGCCAAGGACGCGCUCCUCCGCCCCGCCGUGCUCUCCUCGCCCGACGGUUCCUCCCUCCUCCGCUUGCCGCCGCCGCCGCCGUGCGGGCAGCCCAGGAGCCUGUACAGGUGCACGAGCAUCUUCAACAGCAGCUGCCGCACCUACAUCACGGACGCGUACGGCAAGGCGUGCCCGACCUGCGGCAACCAGAUGGCGGCGGCGGCGCAGUACCUCCCGCCGGCGGGGCAGCAGGUGGCCGCGGCGGCGGGGUUCGUGCAGGGCGUCGUGACGUACACGGUGAUGGACGACCUGACGGUGACGCCCAUGUCCGCCAUCUCCACCUUCACGCUGCUCAACGCCUUCGCGGUCACCGACCUCGCCGCGCUGCAGGAGAAGACCGUGCAGCUUGGCUACAACGAGGUGAGAGGGGGAUCAGAUCGAUCGCUGGACAUGUUCUGAGUUACGUACUCGUCUCUUUUGUUUUAUGUCUUGUAUCGACUGUGAAACAUUGUUGACGUGAUUUGCUGCAGGGUUUAGAGAUUCUCAGGGCCUCGCUGCAGUCCAAAACCGUACUCACUGAUGUUUUCCUCGGCAGGAAGGGUCCCGGUGAAGGUGCCUGAACCUCAUCAGUGCAGACAGCAUGCUGUUUGCCUGAGCCUGACGCGUACUUCUGCAUGGGUUUUAUACUUCACGAAUUACAUGCUGUUUGCAUGUCUGAUGAUACUAUAAUUUAAUGCUUACAUUAUCAUAUGUUUGAGCUACGUGUUAAUGCUUGUGCAAUAUAAUAGUAUCUCCAUCCUUGCAUAUAUGACACGGUUAAAACUCAAACUUUAACCAAUAAAUGUUUAUUUAAUCAAUUAGUUUGGUAAAUUAAAAUGAGUAUCAUUAGAGCUGACACCAAAACUACUUUAAACUUAACUUAUGUAUUUAUCUAUUUGCAUAAAUAUCCGUAGGAAAGAUAAAAAGUCAAACGAAUAAAAAAGUCAAUAGUAUCAUGUAUUUAAGAUGAAGGAAGCAUCACCAGCGUCUGAUAGAAUUGUCAUGACAAACUAAACAGUUUAUAGGAAAUAAAAGUUGUUUCACUUGUGGCCAAGUUUAUUGCAGCGAGAGCAACACAUGACUUUGAGAUUUCAAAUGGUAAUUGGUCGAUGGAAUCAAAUUGGACCACAUGUAUUUCACUUUCCAAGGCGUAUUCUGAGUGAACUUAAAGAGACUACAAGUCUUUUUGCCAGUGUUAUUAAAAAAUGGGAUAACAGCAAAUUUGUCAUAAUUUUGAACCAUUAUUGCAAAGCUACUACUAGAAAUUUGCAAAUACUGUCACUAAAGUGGAAAUCUUGAAAAAAGAAAGAAAAACAGUAGCAAUUUUGCAGAUGCCAUAAAAACUACUCCCUCUGUUUCCCACUGUAUGCCUACCGGGACAUAUGGGUUUUUAAUAUUACACUUUGAUCAAUAAUAUUUAUAAAAGUAUAUUAUUAUAAAAAAGGCUACAUAUGGUGAAAAUAUGUAUCAUACACACACACGAGUCAUGCCGUAAGGCAACAAUACGAUAAUUUAUAUAACUUUUUUUAAUUAUCGAUGGUCAGAGCUAAAAUUGGUUAACUUAUUUAGAACAAAGUUAAAUAAGACUUAUAUUCAUGGAUGUUAGGUUGGAAUGAGUCUAAUUUAACUCACUGCUCCCUCCAUCCCAAAAUGUAAAUCUAUGUAUAGAAAAGCUAAAAUAGCUAAAACAACCUGCGUAGCAAAAUCUAUAUAUUAGAAAAUUAAAACAACCAGCAGGUACUUAACCCUGAAUUAUUCAAUACCAUCUGGAUUAUCCCCAGGCUCCAAAGGUGGUUUUUAGAUCCAGUUAUUGUUGUACUCCGUCGGUAGGGGGUGUUUGGGAGACAUGUGCUAAAUUUUAGCACCUGUCACAUCGGAUGUUUGGACACUAAUUAGGAGUAUUAAAUAUAGGCUAAUUACAAAACUAAUUGCACAACCCCUAGGCUAAAUCGCGAGACGAAUCUAUUAAGCCUAAUUAGUCCAUGAUUUGACAAUGUGGUGCUACAGUAAAGAUUCGCUAAUGAUGGAUUAAUUAGGCUUAAUAGAUUCGUCUCGCGAUUUAGCCUAGGGGUUGUGCAAUUAGUUUUGUAAUUAGACUAUGUUUAAUACUCCUAACUUGUCCAAACAUCCGAUCUAUCCAAACACCCCCUCAGUCUAGAAUGGUGCAGAGAUGACCAGCGAGACAUGCUUGUGUGUGCGUCGGAGAGGGACGGAGUGAAUGCCACAAUCCACAUCAUGUUUCAUAUAGGGUGGUGGUGCAUCGUGGAGCGUCGUGCACAGCACACGAUGAUCACCAGCUUCAAGAAACUCUCAGACCACCGUCUGUUCAGCACACGCAUCAUUUGCUUGCUCAGUUGCUCUUGCUCUGAUCGAGUACACGGUACACGUCCUCUCCCAUCCACGGUCAAGUCGGUUCCAGCUCUCGCCGCUCGCUGCAGUUGCCUCGCUGGGCGUGGACGCGUGGAGUCGCGCGAGCGCCCACACGAGUGCGCGGUGCAUGCGGUCGUGUCGCCAUCCAUGCUUCUUUAUAUACCCUCCGAGAUGGCACGCUUUGCCAUCGUCCCGUUGCCGAGUUCCUAGUGUGCUACUACUACCAGUCCUACCACACCAAGAACGCUACCAGCAGCGGUCUGUCAGUCUGUGAGCUCUCCGAGAUGGCAACCGCCGCUGCGCUGCGCAUGAAGCUCCUCAUCGACAAGAAGGCGCAGCGGGUGCUGUUCGCGGAGGCGAGCAAGGACGUCGUCGACUUCCUCUUCUCCCUCCUCGCCAUGCCCAUCGCCACGGCCGUCAAGCUUCUUGGGAAGGAAUCCAUGGUCGGCUGCGUCGGCAACCUCUACGCCAGCGUCGACAAGCUCGAAUCCAUCUACGUCCAGAACGGCGCCUCCAAGGACGCGCUGCUCUGCCCCACCGUGCUCUCGUCCAGCAACUCGCUUCUCCGCCUGCCGGAGAAGUCCCUGUACAGGUGCACCAACACUGGCCACGCCAACUGCGGCUUGUACAUCACGGCACGGCGCGGCAGCGCGUGCCCGACCUGUUACUCCGGGAUGACGGCGGCGGCUCAGCUUCUCCCGGCGGCGGCGCAUGGGUUCGUGCUGGUGACGUACAUGGUGAAGGACGACCUCUCCGUCACCUCCAUGUCCGCCGUCUCCACCCUGCUCAACACCUUCGCCGUGAGGGACGUCGGCGAUCUCCAGGAGAAGACGGUGCAGCUCGGCUACAACGAGGUCGGUCACUCGGUCUACAGUACUGGAUCAUUAGUAAUCCGUUCUCGGUUAUGCCUCGUUUUCUUGUUUGUGCUUAAAAACUAAACCGUGUAAAGUUCGAUGGUUUUGCAACAGGGUUUGGCGAUUCUGAAGGCCUCGCUGCAGUCCAAGACCGUCCUGACCGAUGUCUUCCUCGGCGACAAGAAGGCUCCCGUUCUUGCUGCUUGAAGGGCGGGCAAGUGUGUCUGACUACACCAGCAGCAUGGGUUAAGUAGUGUUCUAAUUAGGUUCGUCUUCUCUGAUGCUUCAACUGGCUGAAAUCAUCUCUGGUGCCUGGCGGCACUCCUUGCCUUAGAACUAGUACAGAUGAUGCUUCGCCAUGGUUCUUUUGCUGCAAUAUGUUGCAGUAAAAGUUUGGUGGGUGGGAAGGCGGGUAGAAGUAGAAUGGAACCGUGUCUGUGGCCCGUGGGCAGCUAGCCUAGGAAUCUUGUUUCCCUGUGUUGUUGUGUGCCUGUGGCCAUGUGUGACACAGUAGUAGCUAGCACUUCCUACAGUGUACUGUGUACGUUGUGGUACGAAAGCUGUGCCUGUGGUUAUGUUAAUGUAUUGGUUAGCCUUUAAUUCGUUGGUGACGAGCUGAUGUUUGAACACUGGCAUGGAUUGACAGAGUGACAACUGCGUUGUUCAUAGGGCCCGUUUGGGAGGGCUCCGCUUCGCCCUAGACUUUGUUGCUUCGGUGGAGAAGCUCCGCGAACCGCGCUGACUCCCUGCGGUGGUUCGCGCUGACUCCCCGCGGCUCCUCCCCGUCAUUUGCCAUCCACCUCCCUGGAAGAAGAGGUGGGGGAAGGAGGCGGAGGUCUGCUUGCCGCGGCGAGCAAUAGCAGCUCAGGGAGGUGGCCGGCGGGCGCGCGGUCGCGGGUCGCGGCGGCACGGGCGACGGGCCGGGCUAGCAGAGGGCCGCGGCGGUGUGGGCGAGGCGGCCGCGUGAGCCUUGCCGCGGCGGCACGGGUGUAGGGAGACGGGGUGGAUGGAGGCGACAGAGAAGAGAUCAGGAAGGGCAGAGAACAUAUAAGAGAAUGGAAAAUAAAGAAAAAAGAAUGGGAAGGAAAAAGGAAAAUAAAAGAAGAAAAGAGAAAAAAAUAAGGGUAUUUUGGACAUUUCAUCUUUCUAUCGUUUCAAACAACCAGGAGAAGCCGCCGAAGUCUUUUUUUUUUUAAAACGUUUCCUAAAAAUAAGGGUAUCCAUUUUAAACAAUCAGUUUUUUCAAUCAGAUCAGCUGCAGCCGAAACAACCACGGUCCGGCAGCCUCCCGGCCUCUCCCCCAGUCUCCUCCACAGCUAAGGCCCUGUUUGGCAACCAUGUGUUAAAGUUUAACACCUGUCAUAUCGGAUGUUUGGAUGCUAAUUAGGAGGAUUAAAUAUAGGCUAAUUACAAAACUAAUUACACAAAUGGAGUGUAAUUCACGAGACGAAUCUAUUAAGCCUAAUUAGUCCAUGAUUUGACACCACAACCAAUUGCUAAUGAUGGAUUAAUUAGGCUUAAUAGAUUCGUCUCGCGAAUUAGCACAGGGUUCUGCAAUUAGUUUUAUAAUUGCUCAUAUUUAGUUCUCCUAAUUAGCAUCCGAACAUCCGAUGUGACACUGUUAAAGUUUAACACCUCGUAUUCAAACACCCCCUAAGCCUAUGCUAUCUGUCCGCGUUUCCGUGUCUCUCGUUUCCUUUCAUGAAAACACAGCCAGCCCCAGAGUGAGCUAGUUACGGCCCAAGCGCAGAGGUCAUGCCCGAUGUUUACCCGGUACCCUGCUGGCCUGCACUGGACUUGAUCCUGCAAUGGUUGCACUGAACUUUUUGGAAGAUUAAUUCCCACCAAUUUCUACGUUACUAGUCUUUACCAUGCAUGUAAUAGGCUAAGUGCUCCUGUUCAUUCUGUACACGUUCAUGCAAUUCUAAGUUCAACAAAGAAAAGGAGGGAAAUAAAGGAAAAGCAUGCAUGCUAUACGACGGGUUGAAUUGCACAUUCGCUUAGCUGAACAUUUCAAAUAAAACCCACGAGGUUCAUCAAAAUCUGGAAUGCUCAUCGAAGCGUAGAAAAACGAAACCAUGCGCUUGUUUGGGAAGCUAAUGCGCUCGCCAACACAAGUCAAUGAGAGCCUGCUCUUCCAGCACGGUCUCCAAGCUAUGGAAUCGAAGUCUUUUGCUUGGGAAGCAAGCUCCGCCACUCUCUGCUCAGUGCUCAUGCACGUCGUCCAGGUUCUCCCAUCAAUGCAGAGCUCUGUUCCAUCCGUAUUCCCUGUGGGUGCGACGCGCAUUUAUACGGAGGAGCCGGCGCCAACCUCUGCUCCAUUCCAUUCCACCGAGCACGAAGGCAAAGCUCAAUGGCGGCCGCCAGGAGCCUCACCACGCUGAGGAUGAAGCUCCUCGUCGACACGCGGGGCCAGCGCGUGCUGUUCGCGGAGGCGAGCAAGGAGGUCGUCGAUUUCCUCUUCUCCCUCCUCGCGCUGCCGGUGGGCGCGGUGGCCAUGCUGCUCGGGCAGGAGGACGCCGCUGCGACCGGCGGCAGCGUCGGCGGCCUCUACCGCAGCGUCGUGAACCUCGAGCGCUCCUUCGCCCAGCCCGGCGCCGACAUGGACGCGCUCCUCCUCCCCGCCGUGCCACCGCCGGCGGCCGGCUGCGUCGGCUCCCUCCUCCGGCUUCCCGACGCGAGCGCGCGCCCCAGGUGCCCGUCCUGCGGCGGCCGGCCGCCACUGGCAGAGAGUGGCGUGCAGCCCAGCCGGUCGUCGGUACCGAACGGUUCCCCCGCGGACGCGGGAGGGUUCGUGCGGGGCAACAUGACGUACAUGGUGAGGGACGACCUCGCCGUCGCGCCCAUGUCCACCAUCUCCAGCAUCUCCGUGUUCAACGCCCUGGCGGUGAGGGGUCUCGGCGCUGUGCACGAGAGGACCGUGCAGAUCGGGCACACGGAGGCUCUCAAGAUUCUCAAGGCCUCGUUCGAGUCCAAGACCGUCCUCACCGAUGUCUUCCUCCGCGGCAGAGCUCCAGCUCCAGGCACGCUAGCUCGCUAGCUGAUGAAGAUGUGGUGUGGUGCACGCUGCUGCACGGAGUCGAUAGCUAGGCGCGGCAUGGGCUUCCUUGCCCCUUAUGGAGUGAAUUAUUCGCUAGCUGUUUGCUUGUCUUCGUGUGAUUAGGAGAGAUCAUCUUUUGGUACUCGAACCAUAUAAUUAGUUACAGUAGUACCAAUCUUUUAAUUUGGGCAGCCACGAUGAAAAUAAAAGUGAUCCUUAUAUAGCUGUAUGGCAACGGACAAUUUGCCCGCGCAUAACAGUCUUGAUACGCCCGCACCCGCGAGCAAAAUCUUAUGCCCGAUCCGCCACGGACAGCACACUGUGCCCGCGCGCUCCACCUGCGGGCAUGUGUUACCCACGGGCAUACCCAUAUACCCGCCAGCUGUUCAUAGCAAAAGAUAUGUGCAUAUAACAUUGCAGAUCGACAUACAUCGAUGUGAAAUAUUUCAUCGUCACUUCAACAGUUCAUCAGUUCAUCAUACAUUGGCCCUUCCGCACACAAACAAGACACAGCUAUGUCCUCCUUUAGUAGCACGUGCAGCCGCAAAAAGGACUAGUCCUAUGGGAGGCUGGCACUCGAAGCUACUACUCCGUAUCAAGAAAUUAACAAAUUGUUAGGAUCUCGAUUGAAUCUAGCCUAAAACCUAAGAACAAAUGAGUAGAUUGCAGAAUAAAAUUAGGAAUAAAAUUAGGGGAUAAACCAUCGACGCCGCGGGGUGAGGUCUCUCGCUAGGGGACGGCGGCGCGUGGGCCUCCGUGGGAGCUCCCUCGCAUGGGAGUGCUGGCUCCCCUUGCAAGGAUGGCACCCCGGCGAGCCGCGAGCCGGCGCGCUCCGUCCACCAGGGGAGCAGCGGCGGGUGUGGCGGUGGAGGGGCGGCGACCCCGACGAGGUCUGCCGGGCAUGGCGGAGGGCCCCGAUGAGCUCCGCCGCCGUGUUGUGCGGCGGAGAGCCCCGACGAGCUCUACAGGUCGGAUCCCGACGGCUGCGGGGCGUGGCAGCGGGCCCUGACGAGCUCCUCCAUGCUGGAUCUCGGCGGCCGGGGGGGGAGGGGGUGAGUUCCCCGGGUCAGAUCCCGACUGCCGCGGCGGCGUUGGUGGGGCUGACAUUUUUUCUUUUUCAAAUAUUUGUGUUCGACUUUUGUUAUAGUUUUUUUGACAAAUUGUUUACCAAACUUUUUUUUUUCCAAUUUUUGACAAAAUCUUUAUGCCUACAUUUUUUUCAAACUUUUUUCCAAAAUUUUUCUUUUCAAACUUUUGGUUAUCUGAUUUUUUUUCGAUACAUUUUUUGGAAAACUUUAUUUUUGAAUUUUUUUUCUUCCGGUGUCAGGACCACGUGCAUGCAUACACGAGGGAGUGGGAGUGAGGAGAUCGAUUGGUGGGAGGCUACGUUCUAAGGGAGUGUUUGGCUCCCACGUGCUAAAGUUUAGGCCCUGUCACAUCGGAUGUUUGGAUACUAAUUAUAAGUAUUAAACAUAAUCUAAUUACAAAACUAAUUACACAGAUGGAGUCUAAUUCAUGUGACGAAUCUAUUAAACCUAAUUAGUCCAUGAUUUGAUUAUGUGGUGCUACAGUAACUAUUUGCUAAUGAUGGAUUAAUUAAUCUUAAUAGAUUUAUCUCGCGAAUUAGCCAAAGGUUCGACAAUUAAUUUUAUAAUUAGUUAAUGUUUAGUUUACCUGGUUAGCAUCUGAACAUCCGAUGUAACUCCGGACUCCCGAGUAAUCACGUAGCACUGCCCUGGGGCUUGGGCUCUGAAGCGCCAAUAGGCUCCUUGGCCAACGCUGCCUAGAUCAUCCAGCUAUCGCUAGACCCUCUGCAAUCUUGUGCUUGUGCAGCCGGAGCCGUCGAGCUGGCACAUCAUCACAUUACCAGACGUCCGGAUCGUAAUUGCAUCUGAACUGAAUUGUUCCAUCACAAGCGUGCCGUGCUCAUCAUCACACCCAAGCGUUCUGCACUCCAUUACUGACAGAUUGGAUGCAAGGUUUGACUGGAGCGUCGUGGAGACGAAGGGUCACCUGCGCGUGCAGUACUCACCGGGGUUCGCUUCUCCGCGGCUUCAAGAAGUUGUCAGAUGACACAUGACAGUCAGACACUGUAGCCACGGCGCCACGCUUGGAGUGGAGCCGCCCAAUCAGCCACAUGAGUGCAGGCAGGCUAUGCGGUGGAACGGCCGGCCGGCCGGGGACGAUGCCUCUCUUUAUAUAUAUAUACCAGUGAAGCCGCGCGUGCCUACGCCCGAGACCCAGUUUAGCGCUAGUCCUGCAGCCCUGCAACAAGAGGGACAGCUUGCGAGCGAGGUUCUCUCCGAGAUGGCAACCACGACCACCGCCGCCGCGCUGAGCAUGAAGCUCCUCAUCGACCGGAAGGCGCAGCGGGUGCUGUUCGCGGAGGCGAGCAAGGAGGUCGUCGACUUCCUCUUCUCCCUCCUCGCCCUCCCCGUCGUCACGGUGGUGAAGCUGGUGGGGAAGGAAGCCAUGGUGGGCUGCGUCGGCAACCUCUACGCCAGCGUCGACAAGCUCGACUCCACCUACUUCCAGCCCGGCGCCGCCAAGGACGCGCUCCUCUACCCCACCGUGCUUUCGUCGGCGGCAAGCGCCACCCUCCUCCGCCUGCAGGCGGCGCCGCCGUCCCCCGGGCAGCCGAAGACCUUGUACAGAUGCACGAACACCUACAACAGCAACUGCCGCACCUACAUCGCUGACACGCACGGCAAGGCGUGCCCGACCUGCGGCAACCAGAUGACGACGGCAGCGCAGUAUCUCCAGUCGACGGGGCCCGACGGCUCCGGCCAGGCGGUGCCGAAGCCCGAGCAAUCGAAAGGUUUCGUGCAGGGCAUCGUGACGUACACGGUGCUGGACAACCUGACGGUGACGCCCAUGUCCACCAUCUCUGGCAUCACCAUGCUCAACACCUUUGCGGUUACGGACCUCGGCGAUCUCCAGGAGAAGACUGUCAAGCUCGGCUACAACGAGGUAAAUGUAAACCGCUGCUGGAUCUUUCAUUUCUUCUCGCUUGUUGUUCGAUUUUUGAGAUUGUGCAUCAACGUUCUACGUUCUUAAAGGUUGCUGGUUUUGGUGCAGGGCUUGGCGAUCCUCAAGGCGUCGCUGCAGUCCAAGACCGUCCUCACCGACGUCUUCCUCACCAGCAACAAGAAGUCCUCCGCCCGCGGUCGUGCUUGAAGGGCGCUGCUGGUCCUUGCGCGUGUGGGUGUGGCUGACAUGGACGGCAUGGGUGAUGGGUCAAGUUUUCUUUUGUUAUGCUUCAUUUUCUUGCGGUGUGAUCCGUCCAAGCCUUUUGGGUUGUAGUGAAAUCAUCUGGUAGCUGUGUCCUGGCACUUCUUGCCUCACUAGUAGUAGUAGCAGCAGCUCGUCAUGGGUGUUUUGGCUUUGAAUGUGCUGCGGCAAGCAGUUUCUUCCUUUGUGUGAUAACUGAACUUUGUAGAAACCCCCUGCUGUGCUGUUUAACAUCCUUGGCUUGUUUGCUGUCUGCAUGUAUUGUGGACAGUAUCAUUCUGUUACUGUGUGGUUAUAUGUCAAUGGUUUGUUCAGCCUUUGGUUGAUUUGCUGGUGACGGCACUGAUGCUUCAACUUGAACAAUGAACCAGCUCUAAAACUGAUGACUUGUGCACGCUACUGGCUUUCACUUUUCCAUGACACUGGUUUUGGAUUCUUGCCGAUUUUUGGUGCCCACUCGCCCAGAUCAGUAGCAGUAAGGAGCAGGAGAGGUAGCCAGCGGGUCAGGCCCAUGCGUAUAUAGAGAUAUUGAUCGAUAAAUAAAUUUGCACUUGGUAUAGAGAUAUUGAUUGACAAAUCUGCACUCUAUGGUGCUGGUUGGGUGUGUUAGGGUGGCCAUCAGUGGAUCCUCCCUAACUAACACAAACUGCGUUUGGUAGCUUGCAUAGGGGAGAGAUUUCCUCACCACACGUAGGCGUUUGGUAGCUUGCAUAGGGGAGAGAUUUCCUCACCACACGCAGGCGUUGGUGAAGGUUACCCCUUCUCCUCAGGUACCAAAAACACACUGAAAAAAUGAUGUACACUUAAAUUGAAUUAAUUUACAACUAAAUAGGGAGGUCAACAGUACAAAUGUUUACAGAGGAACGUAUUUACAUCAACUUUAGAAGGUAAUUAGCAUCCGACAUAACAUAAUUAGGAUAUAAUUAGGACCUUUCUUGCAUGAUAGUUGCAAGAAAAUUGGAGCAGGAACAUGAUAGAGGAUAAUAGUCACUUGCAAAUACCAAUAUGAAUCAAACACCACACAAGGAGAACCACAACGACAAUAAAAUUGAGAUCGAAGCAUGUCCACCAAGCCAUGAAUCUACAAUGUGAACAACAAAUUGAUCAGGAUUGAGAAAAAAUGACAACCAAUUUAUGAGAAUUGCAUAAAAUCAACUCAUCACCACCUCAAAAUAGCUCAGGCUAGUGAGCAUAAGAACCUGAGCAGGUUUCCAUGUGCCUUACCAGCAGGCAACAUCUCCUAGCCUCAUUACCAAACGAAAAGCAUCAACAUGGGCAACAUAACCAAAAUCAAGUUAAUGAAAUCAGAUAAGAGUGAACAAAAGCUUCAGACAUAAUCCAUUUGGUCAGUCAUCAUUGGCAACAAAAUGAUACAUGACUCAGAUCAAGUGUAGUACUUGCCUAACAAAUAGGACAGAUGCAGGAGUUGCCUCCUAGUGAGGCAAUCUGAAGCGUCCCCACAUAAGUAGAGACUAAAUGUGAUCCAAUUUAUCAGUCCCAGGAGGCUGAUAACACAUUUAUUCAACAGAUAGUUCAGAAACCGUACAACUCCCGAAGGAGCGGGCGGGCAAGCCACACCCAAAGCAAGACUAAAGCGAUAACAAUACAAAUCCAAGUUGCAGUCCAGUCGGACUCCGGGCUGCAAUCGGAACUAAGCGUCAGCGGAAGCAUCCUGCAAAAGGGCCAACACCGCAGGCAGCGUUGGGUGCAGACGCAACCUCCUACUCGAAGUCCUCGGCGACGAAGUCCAGAUCCUCCUCUGAAGCAACAACACAAGGGUGAGUACAAAAGUACUCAGCAAGUCCAACCCCAUCCACAGAGGGAGAUACAACAAGAAUAUGCAUAUGAAUCAUCAAGGAUAUAGCUAUGGUUUAUUUGCAAUAAAGCUGAAUUUUAGACAUAUGCAGGGUUUCAUUUUAAAGAAGUUUCAUGAAAACAUUUUAAUAAACGAUAUAUCAAGUGGGGUUGAUCCUACACAAAGGAUCCAAGUUUUAUCGCUACCGGACUCCCCGUCCGUCGUAGCGCACGGCACAACUGCCGGACACUUCCAAAAUUCCACACACCCACACACGCCGUAAAUACCAGUCAUCCCCCAAAAGCUAGUUGUGUGACCGAGCCGUAACUCGUCCAAUGCCGUGGACACGGCUACCCGGAUAGGUUUUAACUCUGCAGAGGUUGUACACUUUUCCCACAAGUAGGGUACCGUAUCGCGAUCACCUUAGUGACGGUACGGAUCCUAGCAAAGCCAUUACCCACCUUAGCCAACACUGACUAGUCAACACGGAAGCACCCAAGGGGUUAGCAACCCAUCCACGGGGCCGAAACCGGGACCUAAGUCACCAAGAGCUUAGUCCUUUUCCAAGGGCUCCCGUUGCUCACCAGCACACCUGAAGCCUAGCAGUUUAGCUAGUGGGAUUUAUGCUAAGCCGUUGCCCAUACAACGGUCGAGUGGUUGUACGAUGAUGGAAUCAGGCAGGAUGACACAUCAACUCGGUCCUUAGCCAUGACAAGAUGGAUAUCUCCCACUCUGCUCAACCGCUAAGGUACGAGCCCAACAACCCGGCAUUCCACACAAGAAACGCCCAUCCAUCUCAUCCACCACCUCCCUUUACACCAAAAACCCACUCCUCAGUUGAACAUACUCACACAUUUACUUUCCAAAUAAACAGAUGUAGUCAUGUUUGAAUUUGGAUAAUGAGUUCCUAAGCAUUCUAGCAGUAUUUAUCAUCUAAACAGAGCAACUCAUAUUUAGAGAUAAAUAUGGGACAACAAGGAAUAAUCAUAACAAUCAAGGGGUGGCUAUCCAACCAUGUCUUGCGAUAAAACAAUAUGCAUUUUAUAAAACAGGCCAAUAGGUUGUGUCUGAAAAACUGGGUAUUAAAUAUGCAUCAAAGGGUGAGAUUGGACUUGCCGUUCUCAAAGCCUUCCGGGAGCUCCUGCUCGCGGUACUGGUCCUCGGGCUCGGGCUCGCGGUCGAACUCCUCCUCGCGCUCCUCCUCGGGUACUCCGCGAUCUACGGCACACACAAACGAGCACACAAUAAAUAAAAAGGAAAAAGAUUUUACCCGUUGAGCUCCGAACAAGAAGUAGGAACAGAAAAUAGGUAGGAAGGGUAUUUUCAUGAAAUUUUGAUAUGCCUCGGCGGAAAUAUAUGAGAGGAGGCCGUGGUCGAAUUUGGGACUGAUUGGAGGGAAUUUGGCGCAUGAAAUGACGGGUUAAAGGAGUAUUAGGGGCUUUAAAAUGAGGUUUAGGACUGAACCGCGAGAGCAGGGGCCUAUCUGUAAUUAUUUUUGGAAUGGUGGGAGGACUUGUUCGCGAAUAAGGGAAACUGGUGGGUUGGAUCGUGAGGAGAGGGAUUUACCCCUUUCUUCUUCCUGGAGACAACAGGAGGUGGAGGAAGGGAUGGCCGGCGGCGUUCUGGUGGUGGUGGUGGAGGAAGGCAAGGUGCUCGUGGUGAAGGUGUGGAGGUGCAAGGCUCGGCUCCCCCCUUUUAUAGGCUGCGCACGGGCGGGCGAAGGUCGGAGGUGAUGAUGGCGGCCGGACUUCCGGCCAGUGGCGUGCUGGAGUGGACGUCCUCGUGGAUGGCGUGGUGGCUCGGUCGACGAGGAGCACAGGGAGUCCACCGAGGUGAUGGCCGGCGUGACGUGCGGUGGGACGGCGGCGACCGGCGGCCGGCGACGCGGCGCGUGCGGCCAGGCGCUAGGCGCCAAAGGCCGGGUGUGCGGUGCGCAGGCGGGCGCGGGCGAGCGCAGGCGCGCGGGCGCGGCCGGGCGGACUGGUGCGGAGGAGCGAGCGCGCUCCGGCGCGGGAGUGGCCGGGCGCAACGCGUGCAUGCGUGGAUGAGCAUGGGCGCGUGCGAGGAAGGAGCUGGGCACUAGGUAGCAGUGUGCUGGGGUGCGUGCGUCGUGCAGGUGGGACCGGGGCUUGCAGGAGGUGGCGUGCAGCAGCUAUGCGAACAGUAGAGGUGCAGGGGCCAGCGUUGGGUCCAGGCACGGGCCCAAGGAAGUGCACGCGCGCCAAGAAAAGCCAGGCACUAGGGGACAUGCACUGGAGCAUGCGACAUGUACUGGAGCAUGCAGCAGGGGGAAGAAAGGAAAAGAACGAGGCGCAUGCGGCCAGCACCAAGUUCCAGGGGAAAGAGAAUAGAAGAAAAAAAAAAGAAAUGGUGCAUGCGGCCAGCACCAAGUUCCCGGAGGAAAAGAAAAUAAAAAAAGGAAACGGUGCAUGCAUGCAUGCAUGCAUGCACUACGUAAGGAAAAGAAAGCAAGGAGCUGUUGGUGUGAGGGAAAAAAAAGGGAGAAAAGAAAGUGAAGGAAAAUGAAAGAAAAGGAAAGAAGGAAAAGAAGGAAAAAGAAAUUGAUGGCGGCGAUUGCGGAAAUGGUCGCGGGCACGCACGGCGGUCUGCCAUCCGGCACGCGGCAAAAUUUGCGGGGAACGGAAAAAGAGGGUUGACGACGUCGGGUGCCGGGACGGCGGGUCCGGCGGAAAGGAAAUGAUUUGACGGAGCUCAGCGGUAGGAAAAUUUUUGGAAUGCAUUUUUAACGAGUGAUUUAAUUGGGUGUAUUUUUACGGGCGUUACACAGUCAGAUGAAGCCCUGACCAUAUCACUAGGAACUAACACCUGCUAGAGUCCUAAGGGGUGCAUUUGCUAACCGGUGUGAUCAUCGUCAUCAUCAUCGCCAUCCAUAGGAACAACAUUACUGUAAAUCAACUCAACAAGGCAGUAGCAUAAGAGACAAGUGAGUUCUUAUUUAGGCUCAAUUCAGGUGCAGAUGCAUGUGCCAAGAAGCUGCCUAAUAGUGAGGCAAUCAAGGCAAGGUAUACCUUGUUUGCCUCAAUAUGUAGGCAGCAUCUUGUGGCAUGCAUGCUACCACCUUUACAUCAUUGCCAAGAAUUACAUAGAGGCGUCGGAGAGGGUUGAUUGUGGCAUAUUGAGAGGUCCUACUCGCCAAGCUCGAGUGGAUGUUGCUCAAGUCACCAUAAGGCAUGUUGACCAAGGUCCACAUCGAGCUUGGGGAAUACAACCUACCAAGAGUACUCGCAAGCCUGUCAUCAUCCACAUACAUUACAGUAAAACCUUAAGAGCAAAUACAAAAAAAAUAGAAGUCUCACCAUAAUGAGAGCAUUUGCUUCACCAAUCUGAUAUCCUACCUCAAACACUUGCAUUCAAACAAUUGCAGUUCGAUCACAAAAAGUGACAAGGUCAGAUCCACAUCUAGCUGGGUCAGAGAAAAAAAUUUAGGCUCAUCAUCCCUAAACAAGCAGUCAUAAAAAAAAAGCAGCCAACAUGAGAUUGCCUCAGUACAAGUGCAUCACAGGCAUGGAAAGAUGUAUAUUGGGCCUCAGAUUAGAAAUUAAAUCUCCACCUAAUGUCAUACAGACAUGUGGACUCAAAAGUGGUAUGAAAAGAGCAGAAAAAAAGAGUAUAACAGAGACGAUAAAGCUUACAUACACCAAACAAAGAACAACAUGAAAAACAACCAGAAUAGAAGUGCCACUUCAUCAUUGUCCUACCCAUUACUAAUCAUCAAAGGCCAAAGAACAGGAAAACAACAACAAGAAAAAAGUAACUGAAACAUGUUAACAACUUCAGCAAGUUAAAGAAUAACAAAUUAAACAUGGUAGCAAAUUAAAAAGCAUCUGAAAGAAUAGUAAAAUAACAACAAGUUAAAGAACAACAAAUUAAACAUGGUAGCAAAUUAAAUAGCAUCUUAAAGAACAACAAAAUAAACUGCAAGUUAAAGAACAACAGGAACAUGAUAACAUAUGAAACAACAAGUUAAAGCAGAGCAGAAACAAGUCAACAUGGCAACAAAUUAGGUAAAGUAAAUAGUAUAUCAUCUAAACAGGCAUACAUGGCAUCACAUCAUAAGCAUCACAGGCAUAUAGCAAUAUUAGAUCCAUCAUAUUACAAUACUUACUUACCAUGCAGUUUCUUAGCAAAUAGUUACUAGCAAUGUUCUUAACCUUGCCAUGCUGCCAUAAAACUUACUUAGUAAUUAGCCACCCCAUGUGAAAUCAAAAACCACCACAAAAGGUCAGGUGCAAGUGAGGCUACACCGUAAUAGGUCAGACCUACGAAUAUGGAGAUUUGUGCAAAAGAAGGGAGUGGUCAGGGAUGAAGACUUGCUCAACUGUUUUCCCUAAGCUAGAAGGCACUAACAGCUAGCACAUGACUAGUAGUAGUGCUUGCCCAGCUAUGUCCUGAGCCAAAGGGUGCGGUGGUGUUCCCCUAUCUUAACAAAUGCAUUGCCCUGAGACUUGUUGUCCAGGAGGUGGCUAAAAAAACGAUCAGGGCCUCCUCAGAGAAGCCAGGGGUCAGCAUCACACCAUUGUAGAGGUAGGGGUGCACAUGCUCAGGCCCAGUUUCCCUCAAUGCAGCUGCCACAUUAUUCACAGCAUCGGUCAUGUUGGUAAGGACAAGUACCUCCUCCUCAGACAUGGCGGCCCUCUUCUUCUUGCUCCCAGUGUAGUAUGCAGCGGCCUUGGAACCCUCCCCGGAGCCAGCAGGCUUGUUGACCGUCUUCUGGUCCACCUGCUGCUCAAUCAAAGUCAAGUCAACGAGGUGCUACUUGUCCACCUUCUUCUCAGCUAUGUCCCCAAACCCAGAGAACACACCAAGCGCUUCACCAGAACCUAUGGCCCAAUGACCUAUUGUCAUGCCCCUUCCAAAGAUGAUCUCCAUCUGGGUGUAGUGCUCAAUGAGCUUGUUGAGUAGCUCUGCAUUCUUGGGAUGAUCCUGCAAAAUAGAAGACCAACUGUAGGAUUUAGGAUACCGACUAGAGGGGGGUGAAUAGGCGGUUUCAACUAAAAUCGCAACACUAAAUAAAUUUAAUUAGUAACACAAGAGGAAAAUUAUUUCUAGCUACUUUAUAACUAGGUGAGGGUUUGUAACCUAGGGUGAUAAGGUACAAAUCAAACUCUAGUAAUAUAUUUGCUCAAAGUAAAUUGCAAUAAAGAGAUUGAGCAAAGAGAAGACCGAACACAAGAGAUGAAUUUUUCUCGUGGUGUCGAUGAUUUGCCGGUCACCCCUAAUCCAUGUUGAGGUGGAUUUAAUGUUUCAACCACUCCUGUGUCAAGACACCGCUUGAUGUUUGAGCCGUCUUGAAACAAUGAACCUCUCCAAACCUCGAUUCCACUAAUGUUGCUCUUCACCACUCCGGCGAGGUGAGCACAAACACCUCACAAGAAUAGUCAGGGCUCUUCACAAUCUUCGUUGAAGGGCUCAACGGCUCCACAGCCUCCAAGCCGUCUAGGAUACGGCAACCUCCAAGAGUAACAAGCCAAUGACGCUUGCUUGAAGACUCCCUAGUGCCACAAAGCUCAAACUCUUGAUGCAAUGCACUAGGAUGCUCUCAAUCUCACAAGAAUGCAAUCUCUAAGCAAAGUGAGUGAGUGAGAGGUGGAAGAAUGCUUAAGAAUAUCAAACAAGCUUUCCAAAGUGCUAAGAGAGCUCACCCAUGCCCGAAGGUGAAGUAUAUAUGGCGCCUUCUUCCAAAACUAGCCGUUGGAUUACAAACUCGUGAAAAUUGGGGACUGGCGGACCAUCCGCCUCACAGGGGUCGGACCAUCCGCCGUUCAAGUCUAACAGCCACUUAAGCAUUUAAUGUGUAUCAGACUGUAAUGUUACAGAGGUGGCGGACCGUCCGCCCUUAUAGGGACGGACCGUCCGCGGUAUAUAUUUUAGCGUGGUCAGUUCGAGCUUCUGAACUGCGGACCAUCUGCCCUUAUAGGGCUGGACCGUCCGCGGUAUAUAUUUCAGCACGGUCAGUUCGAGCUUCUGAACUGCAGACCGUCCGCCCUUAUAGGGCCGGACCGUCCACGGUAUAUAUUUCAGCACGGUCAGUUCGAGUUUCUGAACUGCGGACAGUCCGCUCAAACACUUGCAGACAGUCCGCCUCUAAACAAAUGCCCCUAAGCCUGAAAAUAUGUCUCUAUAUAAGUUAGCAUGACCAUCCGCCUUUAAGGCGCGGACCAUCCACAUUUAUGUAGUCAACACUCUUCUAGAUCAUAUUUUUCUUCUCAAUUUUUUCACUUUCUCCAACUAUGUUAGUCCAUAUGCAUGCAAUGCAAUUGUUUGAGCAAAGUGGUACUAUUGAACCGUCAAGCAAAUGAAAUUGACCCCUCUUGAUAGUAUGGCUAUCUAGCCUAUUAAUCUGGUCAAUUUACAUCCACUAAGCACCUCUUGACCGAUAAAAAUAGAAAACUCUACCAUAUACCUUUGCCUUGAGCUUUCCAAGGUACAAACCAUCCAAGCUAUCACAAUAGCAUCCUUUGAAGCUCAAUUUAAUUUCGAGACUAACCUAUACUCAUAUUCUCAAUGAAAUUGUUAGUCCACCAAGGUCGUCAUUAAUUACCAAAACACAACUUAGGGACCUAGAUGCUUUCACCAACAACAAAUUGAGUUAAAACUUAGCAAUGGAAAAUGAGGAUAGUUAUUGAAAAAACAGAAUGUAUAAUAUGGCACUAACCUUGUAGUGGCCCAGGUAGUGCUCCUGCUCAAGAGUGAUGCUACAGGUGUCACCAUCCUAAAGAGCACCACUGAGAUCCCUCAGCUUGCACACCCUCCUCCACCUCUGCCGCCACUUACAUAGGUGGUUGUACACCUGAGUGGCGGUGACAUGCUCCACAGUCCAGUCUCACGGCGCCUUUGCCACCUUGUUCACAUGUACCUACUUGAAGCCCUUCUCAGGCUUCACACCACUGCCAAUCAGCUCACACAUGCGACGCAGCACAAACCUGGAGGUGGCAGUGGUCCACCUCAUAGAAGGACGAGGAAGACCACCACCAACACCACCCUGUCCCUGAGCACCACCACCAGUACCAGCACCCUAUCCCUGAGCACCACCACCAGCAGUAGCACCCCCCAAUCCCGUAGGACCACCACCACCAUCACCACCACCACCAAGGACCUGAGCAACAGGACCAACACCAGCAGCAGCACCCACACCACCAAUGUUAGCAGCCUGACCUAGGCUAGAGGCAGUAGCAACAGCACCAUGACCAGCAAGUAGGUGACCAACACUACCAAACCUAGCAGCAGCAGCAGAACCAAAAAACACAUCCGCCUCAGCCAUUGGCCUAGGUAACCAAUAGCAGAGAUCGCAGCACACACCAUUAAGUACCAAACACAUGAUAGGUUAGGUCAUUGCAGCCAUUUGUGUCCCCAAAGCAACAACAAAGUAACCUCAAGGUGAUGAAAACAAAAUUGAAAGCAAAUGUGCAGAUAGAAACUACAUUUUAAGAACAUCAGAUGUAGGGAGAAAGCAAAUUAAAUUUAGUACAGUAGAGGUUUAGCCCAGACCCCACCUUGUGUGGGAGCUUUCGCACUGGGUACGCCCUUUUAGAGGUCUCAGCAAGUUCCAACCAGCAUCACAUGACUGCCACACCAUGGUUCCUUACAAUUUCACUAAAAUAGACAAGACACUACACCCUAGAAGACCCCUUAUAGUGCCACAUAUCCAAAGCCCACUCAACCCUCUAAACACCUCAGGCCCUAGCUUCCGGAGACAUGGCUGCAUGAGUUGGUGCAGGCUGUGAUUAUGAGGGUGGUGGGGAGAAAUCCUCCCCUGGGACAACUUCAUCUACCCCAAAUCCGAAGAUCCAGUUAUGCAGAAUACAACAAGCAACGACAACCUUAACUUAUGAGGGGUAUGGAUGGUAAGCUUAUUGUCUAGUAUUCGAAACCUACCCUUAAGAGCCUUAAAUGCCCUCUCAACUAUUGUAUGAAGGGAUGAGUGUCUUAGGUUGAACAAUUUCUUGACAUUGUUAGGGGUUCUUUUACCCUCAAACUCCGACAUGUGGUACCGAAUAGCCCAAUACGAAGGAAGGAGCCAUGCUGCAAAGUGUAGCCAGCAUCAGCAAGGUAGAAUUUGCCUACAAAUGAAUGGAUUUAGGGUACAUGAGCUGCCUAGUUGAAGAAAACAAAAAACUGGUGCAGGUAACAAGCUGGGUGGACAAUGUACCUUGUGGCACCCUCAACCCAUCAUCCCGCUCUAACACAUCAGUUAGGAUCAGCGCAUCAUGAGCUGAUCCUUCCCACCCAGCAAGGACAUAGGUAAACCUCAUGUCGAAAUCAAUAGCGGCAAGCACAUUCUGUGGUGUGCUGCUCUUACGGCCUCUAAAAGCAGCCUGCAUCUUAAAUGGAACUCUAGCAAGAAUGUGGGUACCAUCAAUAGCUCCUUGUGACGACCGGCCCCAAAUCUUCAAAGUUAAUCUUAAUCCGAUCCCCUGAUCACCUGUCUUAGCUUUCCAAGCCUAAGUGUUCAACCUCCCGACCGGUCCCGACCCCUGAGACCCGACCCCUCCCCGCUUGUCUCUAGUUCCGACCCCGCCAACCCCAACUCACCGUCAGAUCCUUCUAAGUCUUUCCCAAAAUAUCCGUUCUAUCUGACCGGUGGACCCACGAGAUCUUUUUCCCCCCAGAUCUUCCGCGACAGGCGCACUCGAGUUGCAUGCCCGCUUCAGAGUUUCCCCGCCGCGUGGCUCAACUUCUCCGACGCCCGCCGCUCCGCCUCGUCUCUGGCCCGCGACUGAAUGGAUUCUCGCGCCCCUUCCCCAAUUGCAGCGGAAGCCCCUCUGCAACCUUUCUGCAAUGCCUCGCCUCCCGCGCCCAUCAUCACAUCGCCAGAUCCUGGCCGCAGAGCCCGAUGUCGCCCGUCUUUUCCGUCACCUCGACACAGUCGCGCCGCCUGGUCUUCGCUACCCGACGAUUCCUCCUCCGCCAACCCUGACCACGGCAGCGACAGCUCCUUUCCCCGCCCUGUCAGAAGCCGCCCGACAAUCUGUUGCUCCGCGCUCGCCCGCGCGCUCGCGGCUGCCUGUCUUCUCACCUGUGCGCCCUCGAUUCUAGCGCCGUUAACACGGUCACUUCCAUCAGCUCUACCGCACGACGACGCCCACCUCCGCCAAAUUUCAACCACCGGCAUACCCGCUCCUGCGCCGCCCUGACGCCAGAGCCCAAUGACCGCUGGCGUCAUCCCCGAAGUCCUGCUCCACCGCCCUCGUCGCUCAAUCGCCGCCCAGGCAGAGCACUCCAUUGCUUCUUCCCCGGCCUUCGCGCCGCUCCCCUUCUCACUCCCGCGCCGCUUCCCUUCUCCCUUCCCAGCCGCUAUAAAAGGGAAUGCACGAACCCCGCCGGAGUUCCCUUCGCCAUUGCUGCCUUUCCGCCUUUCCGCUUGCUCCCUGCUCGAGCUCCCAGCGCCACACACUAAGUUCCUGAGGAACUCUCCUCUCCGCUCCACUCCGUUUUCCCCAAGCCAUCCAGCCGCUUGCUCCUCCGUGCUGCGUAAGAGCUCACUUGUGAUCCACAAGAAGCACUGCCGCCGCCGGAGUACUGCAGGACCUAGCCGUUGUUCAAAACCUUAGCCCCUCCGCCCAGGCCUUUUUCUUCCCGACCCCAAGCUUUCCUUGUAGGAAGAAGGUAAGCUGCCGACCCCUGGUCCGCCUCGUCCGACCCUUGUCCGCUUCGCCCGACCCCUCUUAUCCGCCCGACCCCGAUUCCGUCUCGCCCGACCCUGUCUGUUCCGCCGACCCUUCUCCGCCUCGCCCGAGGGCUCGGCUGUAACCUUUUUCUUCAAACCGAGGGUGUAUGUGUAAAACUUGGGAACCCUUCAGCGUUGAGUCUGAGGAUCCCUAGCACACCAACCCUCCAGUUUAAGGGUCAGAUCACAAGUUCCUUUCCUCGGACCCUUACCUCUUGAUCUCCACCAGCUCCCUUGAACCUUCCCACCCUCCUGCUUUUUGUCGCGAGUUUCUGGGCUUAGACUUGCAAGUGUUGCUGUUGAAAUAACCAUCUAUGCUAAUUAAUGCAUUGCAUUCGUGUAGAGCUGCGCCUCACCGACGGCUUCUACGAGCUGCACCCGGCGCCAGAAGAUGACGGUGUAGCUGAGCUCCUGCCCUCUGAAUCCGAAGCCGCCCCAGAAGUCGAGCAGUUCUCUUCCUCCUUGCUCAAAGGCAAACCCCGGUUGCAUGAAAACCCUGUGUUGUUUUACCAAACUUGCGCAUGCCUUCUUUAACAUGCUUGUGCAUUUAUGUAUAGGAGUUGUUUGGAACCCUAGAUGCAUAUCGUAGCUUCCCUGAUCUGAACACUAGCUGUUGGACCGAGUAGCUGCUUGCUUAAAUAGGAAGCGGUAAAAGUCGAGUGAUUUCCUGUCACUCGCGAGUUGUAGGAGUUGGUUGUCUACCCUUCUGUUACAACUGUAAGGAUGAUGGACGGGGCAGGGUUUGGGUAACUCUUUGGUGGUUGGUUGAUCGCCCUGUGUAUCUAUGAAACUUGACUAAGGCCCGACAGUGGUGGUAUUCAUGAUCAAGUGUUUGAAAGUACUAAUCUCAUACUUAGUAUGGGAUGAGGAAGCCUAGUACCGGAUUGAACCUAAACGUGAGCGGUCGCCCCAUUGUUCUUGGAACAGAGUUUCCCCUGCUGGAUGUCGCACGUGGUGGCAUGCAUGGUCACAGAACGGCAGAGGCCAGGUCUGUGGAACCUUGCACCAAAGGAAAUGGGCCCGACAUGGGUUAGGGGAUUGAUGGGGAAGGCCGACACAGGAAGCGACCUCCGGGUGCGCGGAUGUCGUGAGGUUAGGUUCACCAUGCAUGGUUAAAGAACUCGAAUCGAUUCGUCUGCCUCUCACAAUUUGAGACUGCUUGAUCGCUAUGUCACCCUGAGUAAAUGAGGAAUCCGAUGAUGACAUGGUUUUGUUGAUAUAUAUACAUACCUUGGUUGGUUCUAUGAUUGUUUAGCAUAGUUGCAAAACCUAGACCGGAUAAUGAACUUAGAACCUGAGCUAAAACUUGAAACUAAAGUUCUAUUUAGUGCUUUUGGCAAACAAAACCUUCAGCCAAAAAACCUUGCAUGUCUAGAAGUGUGGAGUAGCUUUACUCCUGUCGGUUAAGUCUUGUUGAGCUUAGUAGCUCAGCCUACUUGUGGCUCCUGUUUUUCACGUAAAGUUGCUGCUCCUGACCCUUCUCCCGCUGGCACUUGGCCGCCCCAGCUCCCUCCGGGUUGGACGGUCGAGUGGGAUCCCUCCUCGGACGGCGAGGAGAGGGAUCAGUGAUGUCCCAGCUGGCCUCACCAGGGACGUCCGACCCCGACGUUUUGCUUCCGCUAGUGGUUUUAUCUUCUGUUGUCUUUCUUGAAAACCUUGUAAAACUCUGAUGUUUAUUUCCUAACCAAAAUAAGUGGUUAAGUUGUUAACUCGGCGGACUUGUUGUAUUCUCUGGAACCGCUCACCUUCGUGUGGGUCUGCUAAAAUGGUCCUAUUCAAGUGGUUAAAUCGGAGGAAAUCCGGCGGCACUUCGUGUUUACUCGGCUCAGGCAUGAGCGUCGCGUAUCAGGCGGCUAAAUCAUGUUUAACCAAGUAGAUCCGAAGUGGAUCCGCCACAGCUGGUACCAGAGCAGGUUUAGCAAUACAGAGAACACAACAAGCCCUAACACUUCUUUGAAAAGAUAGAAGUUGCAAGAAACUUUUUGAAAAAUCUCGUAUGAUCGUUAAGGAUGACUUUAGUGCGAGAGGCCCUAGGGGAUUUUGGGGUUGUUUUAGGUGGCUAAUAUUUUAUUUGGUUACCUCGCUAACCCUUCCAGCACUUUGCCACGUUUAUCAUACGUGUGCCGAGUUCCGCAUCACGAGUAUGCGAAGGUUAAUAGGGAGUUCUAUUCGAAGGACCCUAUCAUCGGGGUUGUUUUCGCCCACGUCUAUCAUACGUGCGCAGGUUCCGUAUGUAAUCCAUACGAAGGUUGGUACGGUUCGAUUCCAAUGAACCUAUCAGCACGGUUGAUUCACCACGUCUAUCACGCGUGUGCUGAUUCCGCAUCGCGAGUAUGCGAAGGGUUAUACGGUUCCAUUCAAAGGGAACCUAUUUCCACGGUUGAGUGUUGUCCAUGCAGCCUUAAACGCAUGGGUGGCGUUCCUAUAGUGAGCGGUAAUGUUUGGGAACGCUUUCGUGGGUGCUGGCACGAAAGGUUCGUGUGGUGGUGUUUUCUGCAGGUACACUAACCGCGUUCGCUUAGGAAACGUUGCUAGAACUGACUAGCUAUUACAGGGAGAGACGUAGUUGUUGCCUUGCCACCGGCACUGACCGCGUAAGACCCAAGUUUUGGGCAGUUGUUUUGGUUAAGAGUAAGGUAGGCCGUGCAUACGUCAUAAGCAAAAAUCUGUAAAAUCACUCUCCUCAAAAGCAACCUUGCUCGGAAAAGCUCUUCUUCGGUUCUAAGGAUUUCUAGUUUCUUCCAGUUGCUCUCAGUUAAAACCGAAUGCUUCUCUAUCCGACCCCUGACCCUUGGAGUCUAUCUCACGUGGUUUUGGUUUCUUGGUUCCAGAUGGCCGUUCCCGGACACGUUCUGUUUGGAGCGGAUGGUACCUUCCAGUCAACCUGUCUACACUUCGAGGGCUUCCCCGUGAUUUUGUGGGAUACUUUGAAAUGGUUCGGGUACCAGUCCCCACCAUUGUACGCAGGACGACUGUACCUAGAGCAGGGCAUCCAGAUGUGCAACGUACAGGCGGUGGUACCUCCUCCUCCCGUGUGGCCCGACUGGCCCUCCUUCGGAAUAUCAGCCUACAGUCUUGCUCCGGAGGACACCUGGGAGUCCGCCGCUCUUCAGCUUCUUACCCAGUUUUGUCAGCUGCAUCCCCUGGAGGUCACACUAGACCCCAUCGGCCUGUUCCCCGUCAGGAACCGGUUGGAUCCGGCGUGGCUCGACCGCGUCGGAAAUAUCGAGGUGCUGGCCACCACUUACUCCAUGGUCACAAUCUCCACCAACGUCAGAUGCAUGACAGCCCUCUAUCGGCUGAUCGAGCUCCAAGGGAGAGCCAUGACCCUCCUUGCCCGGACCGCAGUGGAUGCUCAAGGACACCUCCAGUCAGCCAGGAGAGACAUGGUAGGCCAAACCUACCGGCUUAUCCAACGAGGCAUUCAGAUACAUGACAUGCAAGACAGGAUCUCCGAGCUCGUAGGAGAAGUAGCCGACCUGGUGGACGGCAUGAUCGAGCUGUCAGAGGAGAAAAUGGAAAUAGAGAUGGAGCUGGCCGUUGCCAAUGCUCACUUGGAUGAGCAUCAAGCUGAGCUCGACGAUAUGCACGCCCUCCAUAUGCAACUCGAAGCUCAAGAGGACCCUGAGGAGGAUGAGGGAGCGUCCAGUAUGGACAUUGAAGAAGACGGCGCCCCUUCUCCUACUCAUAGUGUCCAUUUGUAGAUAAAGAGUUAUAAGGGACUCAUUCUUUUAUUGUACUUCUCGGCAGCCUAAAUUUUGGAAGGAAUUGUGAUAGGUUAGCCUUGAGUCGAGUACUCCCUGUGUUUGGAACACCGCUGUAAAUAAAGUCAAUUCCUGAGUCUGGCCUUUAACUCCUGCAAAGUGUUGGAAUAUUAGACUAAGUGAGUUGUGCCGCGACCACACAUGCCGUUUUCUGUGAGUCUGUUCAAGUUGGCCGACCCCGGUUCGCGAGAUCGGAUGCGCCGACCUUUUGAGGCAGUCUCCGCCUCGCCCGACCCCUUUUUAGUAUGGAUCGUUGCCGACCCUUUUUCUCGGGAGGAUCGCCUAGCCCGACCCCGUGGCUUAAGUGUGGAUUUUAGGAGUCUGGGUAGGGUAUGAUUCGCCCGAAGUUGAGUAUAAGGCUAAGAUAAACGCUAACUAACAUGAGGAUGAGAAGAGUGUAUCUCCCCUAUGAGGACGUGUGUUGCAUUAGCAGCAAGAGUGGUAUUGGAGAAUUUAACUCAUGCGUUCCAUCUGUUGGAGUACUUCUAAGUUUUGGAAUUUAAUGGAACGAUAACUCUUGCAGAUGGCGCAUCGUACCAGAUCUGGUUCUGUGCCCGGCAGCAGCGAGCAGAGACAGGAUCUUCCCCCACCCCCGCCCUCGUCUCCACUAGAGGCAAUCCUAGCGGCUCAAAUCGAGCUGCUGAGGCACCUUGUACAAGGACAACAGCAGCAGCCCCAUGGUGGAAGGGCUCAGCAGCAGCCGCAUGUUGCUCGCUAUGAGGACUUUUUGGGGACGCAGCCUCCUUUGUUUCAGAAGACACAAGAACCGCUCGACGCCGACGCCUGGGUUCGUACGACCGAAUCCAAGUUCGAGCUUUUCACCGCCCCGUGCCCCGUGUUGGGAUACGAGGUAGGCUACACUAGCGCAAAUCAAAAUUUCUACCACGUAAAACCAGGAAGAACUGCCGUAUAAAAAUCACGGGAUUACCACUCGACGCACUACUGGUGCGGAAGAUGUAGAUAUGCGUCGAUGCAGUGAAGAUGAUCACGUAGUCGUACGUAGUCGAUCAACGUCCAUCAGCUCCUCAGCAGCUCGUCCACGUGCAUCAAGAUCGCCUCCGGUGCCGCGGCUCGUCGGCGGCUCGUCCAAGUGCUGCAGGCGCAACAUCUCCAAGGUAUCCACACGUGCAGGGAGGAAGCGUCGCAAGCCGGACUACUAGAUCCACGAGUUGCAACAGGCGAGGGCGUGGGAGGCGUGGCAGAUGUGUUUCGCCAAAAGGGUGUGAACCCUAGGGCGCCCCCACCCCUGUAUUUAUAGAGGUUCCUGACGGCCUCUGGGUCCAAGGCCCAUUAGUACUUCUAAACCUAAUCCAACUCAGAUCAGAUCCGAAUUGGGCUUCCAGCCCCUUAAGUGUGUGACCCUAUAGAUUCGGAUACGUAUAGACAUGGCCCGAGUACUCCUACUCGGCCCAAUAGUCGGUAGCGGCCUCUAGCAAGACGUGCCAACUCCUAUACGCACACGAAGAUCAUAUCAGACGAACCAUCACAACAUAAUAUACAUGCUAUUCCCUUUGCCUCACGAUAUUUGGUCUAGCUUCAAGCCGACCGCUCUUUCUCGAUCGUGUGAUUCGGAAUCCCUUUGUAAGUUAACUCUUAACCGUACGUAGCAUGGCCAUGCAUUUUCGGAUCCGAUCACUCGAGGGGCCUAGAGAUAUCACUCUCAAUCAGAGAGGGGCAAAUCCCAUCUUGAUUGACCAUGUCUCAUAGCAUGCUUCUUGACAAACCCGAAAGCUACCUUUAUAACUACCCUGUUACGGCGUAGCGUUUGAUAGCCCCUAAGUAGGUCGAUCCACAUCUAGAAUACAUGCGACAAUCUCAGGUCUAAGGACAAAGCGUAUAUGUUGUUUAAAGAGAGAACUACUUCUCGUGUUGGGUCAGUCCUAGCACAUGUCUCCACAUGUGUCCACAUUAUUAGUUCAACAUCUCCAUGUCCAUGACUUGUGAAACAUAGUCAUCAACUAAUACAUGUGCUAGUCUAAUAUUCAUGUGUGUCCUCACAUGAACUCCGACUAGGGACAACUUUAGAAUAACCAUACAAGUAAAGAGUUUCACAUACAAUUCACAUAAUUGCAAAUCAAUUCAAGUAGCCUUCAAUGGAUAUUCAAUGAACACAACAUACAAAUCAUGGAUACAAAUGGAAUAUCAUCAUCUCCAUGAUUGCCUCUAGGGCAUACCUCCAACAGUCUCCCACUUGCACUAGAGUCAAUCUAGAAGGUACCUAAUACCCAUAGCUCUUACAUACACAUCAUGCUUAGCCUGCGGGAGUGGUUUUGUCAACGGAUCAGAAAUGUUCAGAUCCGUGUGUAUUUUGCAUAUCUUGAUCUCACCCCGAUUAACGAAGUCUCGAAUGAGAUGAAAUCGCCGCAUUACGUGUUUGUUCUUCUGGUGGUUCCUUGGCUCCUUUGCUUGCGCAAUUGCCCCAUUAUUAUCACAGUAGAGAUUCAAUGGGUUGGACGCAUUCGGGAACACACCAAGCUCAAUGAGGAAAUUCCUUAUCCAAACACCUUCCUUCGCGGCUUCCGAAGCCGCGAUGUACUCGGCUUCUGUCGUAGAAUCGGCCACCAUCUCCUGCUUGGAACUCUUCCAACUAACAGCACCACCAUUCAGUGUGAACACAAAUCCUGAUUGUGACUUUGAAUCAUCUCUGUCAGUUUGGAAACUAGGAUCGGUGUAACCUGUUAAACGAGCUCCUCCUCACCUCCAUAGACGAGGAACAUAUCUUUAGUCCUUCUCAAGUACUUAAGAAUGUUUUUCACCGCUGUCCAGUGACUCUCACCUGGAUCAGAUUGGUGUCUGCUUGUCAUACUUAGCGCAUAUGAAACAUCUGGGCGAGUACUUAUCAUUGCAUACAUGAUAGAUCCAAUAGCCGAGGCAUAUGGCACUCUACUCAUGCGAUCCCGCUCAUCAGCAGUCGAAGGACACUGAGUCUUGCUGAGAUGUAUGCCAUGUGACAUAGGCAAGAACCCUUUCUUUGCCUCUUCCAUGUUGAACCGCUUCAACACUUUGUCAAUGUAAGUAUUUUGGCUUAAACCUAUAAGCCUUCUCGAUCUAUCUCUAUAGAUCUUAAUGCCCAGAAUAUAUACCGCUUCCCCUAAGUCCUUCAUCGAAAAACUAUUUUUCAGUGAAGUCUUGACGGACUCAAGCAUAGGAAUGUUAUUUCCAAUCAGUAAUAUGUCAUCCACAUAUAAGAUUAGAAAUACUACAGAGCUCCCACUAACCUUCUUGUAAACACAAGACUCUUCUUCGUUCUUGGUGAAGUCAAACCCUUUGACCACUUCAUCAAAACGAAUGUUCCAACUCCUAGAUGCUUGCUUCAACCCAUAAAUGGAUCUCUGAAGCUUGCAUACCUUUCCAGCAUUUUUCGGAUCGACAAAACCAUCGGGCUGUAUCAUAUACACGUCCUCAGCUUGGUUUCCAUUCAGGAAAGCUGUCUUGACAUCCAUCUGCCAUAUCUCAUAAUCGAAAUAUGCAGCUAUAGCUAGAAUAAUCCGAAUGGACUUAAGCAUCACUACGGGCGAGAAGGUCUCGUCGUAGUCAACUCCUUGAACUUGUCAACCUUUUGCGACAAGUCGUGCUUUAUAGAUGUGAACAUUUCCAUCUAUGUCCUUUUUCUUCUUAUAGGUCCACUUGCACUCUAUGGCUUUAACACCAUCAGGCGGGUCAACCAAGUUCCAAACUUGAUUGUCUCCCAUGGACUCUAUUUCGGAUUGCAUGGCACUCUGCCAUUUUUCGGAGUCUGGGUCCAUCAUUGCUUCUGUAUAUGUCGCAGGCUCAUCAUUGUCCAACAAUAAUAUUUCCCGCAUUUCGCGGAGCCUUGCCGACCUUCGUGGUUGUGGCGGUGCUUCUCUUGCCAUGGGUAUCUCAACUUGUUCUGCUACGUUAGCAUCACUCAUUGAUUCUUGCCCGAUCGGCUCAUCUUGAACUUCUUCAAGAUGCACUGUCUUUCCACUCUUUUCUCCUUUGAGAAACUCUUUCUCUAGGAAAACCCCGUUCCGAGCGACAAACACUUUGCCUUCUGAUCGGUUGUAGAAAUAAUAUCCCAAAGUUUCCUUUGGAUAUCCCACGAAAAUGCACUUAUCCGACUUGGGUGUGAUCUUGUCCGACUGAAGUCGCUUGACAAACACUUCACAUCCCCAAAUCUUUAGAAAAGACAAACUAGGAACCUUUCCAGUUCAUAUCUCAUAUGGUGUCUUAACUACGGAUUUAGAUGGUACCCUAUUAAGUGUGAAAGCUGCUGUUUCUAGAGCGUAUCCCCAAAAUGACAACGGUAGGUCCGACUGGCUCAUCAUUGAUCGAACCAUGUCUAACAAAGUUCGAUUACGUCGCUCGGACACACCGUUUCUCUGAGGUGUUCCAGGCGGCGUAAGUUGUGGAACAAUUCCGCAACUCUUUAGAUGAUUACUAAACUCGUGGCUCAAAUACUCGCCUCCACGAUCAGAUCGUAAGGCCUUAAUUUUCUUGCCACGCUGAUUUUCAACUUCAUUAUGAAAUUCCUUGAACUUUUCAAAGGUUUCAGACUUGUGCCUCAUUAAGUAGACAUAGCCAUAUCUACUAAAAUCAUCAGUGAAAGUUAUGAAGUAUUGGAAUCCUCCUCUAGCCGUCGUGCUCAUUGGUCCGCAUACAUCACUAUGUACGAGUUCCAACAAGUCUACUGCUCUCUCAGGAAAUCCUGUGAAAGGCGUCUUGGUCAUCUUGCCUAGCAAGCAAGCCUCACAUGUCUCGUAUGAUUCAAAAUCAAACGAAGUUAGAAGUCCAUCAGAAUGGAGCUUCUUCAUGCGCUUUUCACUUAUAUGACCCAAACGACAAUGCCACAAGUAGGUAGGACUCAAAUCAUUAGGCCGAGGCCUUUUAGCACUUACAUUACAGACAGGUGAACCAUCAAGAUUUAACACAAAUAAUCCAUUCACAAUGGGUGCAAAAGCCAUAAACAUAUUAUUCUUAGAGAUCACACAACCAUUGUUUUCACUCGCAAAUGAAUAACCAUCCUUCAUCAAGCAUGAAGGAGACAAAAUGUUUCGACUUAAACUAGGAACAAAAUAACAAUUAUUCAACUCCAUAAUAAAUCCUGACGGGAGGUGGAGUUGCAUCGUCCCGACGGUCAACGCAGCAACUCUUGCAUUAUUGCCCACGUGGAAAUCAACUUCUCCUCUUUCCACGCUUCUACUUCUUAUCAUUCCCUGCAUCGAAUUGCAAAUAUGAGCAACCGAUCCGGUAUCAAAUACCCAAGAAUUAAUAAUUGUAUCAGCGAGAAAUAUGUUGUCUAUAACAUUAACAACAAGCGUACCUGAGGUAGAACUACUCUUACUUCCGCCAUUCUUCAAGGAAGCUAGGUACUGCUUGCAGUUUCUCUUCCAGUGACCAAGUUCAUGACAGUAAAAGCACUCUUUGUCUGGAGCAGGUCCAGGUCCAGCUUUAACCUUGGGCGGUGGGUUUGGUUUGGACGUUCCAGCCUUGCCCUUCUUCUUCCAAGAAUUGCCCUUCUUCUUAAAGCUAGGCUUGUUCUGUAUGGCCAUCACAUGGCUGGUACUAGCACUUUUCUUGAUGUCUACCUCAGCUGUCUUGAGCAUACCACACAGCUCAUUCAGACCCUUCUCCGUCCCAUGCAUAUGGUAGUUCGAGAUGAAGUUCCCAUAGCUAGGCGGAAGAGAUGAAAGAAUGAAGUCAGUGGCCAACUCUUUGCCCAUUGGGAAGCCCAGCUUCUCCAAUCGCUGAGUGUAACCAACCAUCUUGAUUACAUGUGGUCCUACUGCUGUGCCUUCUGCUAGCUUGCACUCCAGAAAGGCUUUGGACACAUUGAACCUUUCAGUCCUAGCCUAUGUCUGGAACAUGUCCUUGAGCGCCACGAUCAUAUCAUGUGCCUCAUGAUUUGUUUCGAACUGCAUCUGCAGCUCGGGCUCCAUGCAAGCAAGCAUAAGGCAGCUUACCUCAAGAUUAGCAUCAAAUGCCUUCUUAUAAGCAGCCUUAACGGCAGCAGAUGCAUCAUCAGCAGGUACUGGUGGUAGUGGGGUGUCUAGAACAUCUUCCUUUUUAUCGGCCCUGAGAACAAUUCUCAGGUUACGGAUCCAAUCCGAGUAGUUUGUUCCAUUCAACUUGUCGUUCUCAAGGACCGAACGCAAAGCAAACGAUGUGGUGGUGUUGCUAGGUGCCAUUUAAUCUACAACAAAAGUAAUGCAAAAUACACUAAGACAAACGUAUCCAUGAUAGAGCAAAUUACAUUAAACUAUUUUAAAAGAAUCUACUCCCACUAAAAUUAAUAUCCCUCUAUUGAAACUUAGUGAUUCAGGAUCCACAACUAACAAGUCCACUAGUGAGCUUUAGCAUCACCGCUAGCAAACAAGGUAGAUCGGUAAGCAACUUUUGCUAAUCAUAUCACAUAUGACUCCUGUUGUUGGGUGACAUCUCUAUGUCUCGGAGCCCAACCUUUAUGCCCCAAGGUCCUUAACCAUUAAGAUAACCUUGUUAAGCAAACCAACCCUUAUGCGUGUAAGUGUCCGACACAAACCCGUCUGGUCAAGGAAAACUAGUGGCACCCUAAUUUCAUAGACCCACCACUAAUUCUACAAGACAUGGGACGGUGCAAGUUUUAGUUGGGAGGGCAUACUAACUUAAACUUUGUGAGGGAUCGUUCUACUUCUAACAUCACAGCAUGCAGAAAGUAAAACAUAAAUAGAAUAGCAUUCACACAGUUGUGACACAGUAUGGCCCGUUUUCAUAUGGUGAUCUCCAUCUCCAUGGAACCUGUUCACCAUGGUGAUCUCCAUCUCCAUGUUCCAUGUGUGCCAUCCUCCUGGUGAUGAGUCCUCCAAGAACUAGAACAUGCUAUUACACCUAAUAGCUAGUAAAGAAUCUAGUAAUGAAGAUUACAUAGUUGCUUGGAUCAUCACAGAUUGGUACGCAGACCAUUAAAUACAAUAAAGUGACAACACAUAUGGCUCCUGCCGUGUUGCAGUACGCGCGACACGCAGGUCACGAAUGAGUUACACACAUGCAUCACAUACACAAGGGGGCCAUACUGAUCACAAGAUACAUACAUACAUCCUGCAAAACAGAGUUAGGCGCCCUAACGUUCCAAACUUCGGAGGCCCGAAACUCCAUCUUCCAAGCCGAAUUUGGGAAAUCUAAUUUCGCCGAAAACGGCAAAACCGUUGAAUUUCAUGUGUAACUUUUUCUGUAGAUCAAUUUUCAUAUAAAAUUCGCCCCGAUCCGAGAUCGUACCGAAAAGUUACAGCUGAUUUACCGAAGCAUACACAUACGGCAAAAAUCCCGACCCCGGCAGUAGAUCCCAUCUACUAUUGCACAUCUAAUGUGCCUGGCGUAUGACCCUGGAUUUCGAUUCGACCAAUCAUAUUGAUCUUCACUCAGUGCAACUGGAUUUAUGUGUAUCACUUAACUCCGAUGGCGGAAACCGACCGGUAGGAGUAUGUCGUUACACUACCAUUGCAGCAAGGGCACGAAAAGAGGACAUAAAUCAAACGGAAAACUCGCAUAUCUCCAUAUGCACACAUCCCGAAUCCAAAACUAAGCAGCUACGGCUCUGAUACCACUGUUGGGAUACGAGGUAGGCUACACUAGCGCAAAUCAAAAUUUCUAUCACGUAAAACCAGGAAGAACUGCCGUAUAAGGAUCACGGGAUUACCACUCGACGCACUACUGGUGCGGAAGAUGUAGAUAUGCGUCGAUGCAGUGAAGACGAUCACGUAGUCGUACGUAGUCGAUCAACGUCCAGCAGCUCCUCAGCAGCUCGUCCACGUGCAGCAAGAUCGCCUCCGGUGCCGCGGCUCGUCGUCGGCUCGUCGGCGGCUCGUCCAAGUGCUGCAGGCGCAACACCUCCAAGGUAUCCACACGUGCAGGGAGGAAGCGUCGCAAGCCGGACUACUAGAUCCGCGAGUUGCAACAGGCGAGGGCGUGGGAGGCGUGGUAGAUGUGUUUCGCCAAAAGGGUGUGAACCCUAGGGCGCCCCCACCCCUGUAUUUAUAGAGGUUCCUGACAGGCCUCUAGGUCCGAGGCCCAUUAGUACUUCUAAACCUAAUCCAACUCGGAUCAGGUCCGAAUUGGGCUUCCAGCCCCUUAAGUGUGUGACCCUAUGGGUUCGGAUACGUAUAGACAUGGCCCGAGUACUCCUACUCGGCCCAAUAGUCGGUAGCGGCCUCUAGCAAGACGUGCCAACUCCUAUACGCACACAAAGAUCAUAUCAGACGAACCAUCACAACAUAAUAUACAUGCUAUUCCCUUUGCCUCCCGAUAUUUGGUCUAGCUUCAAGCCGACCGCUCUUUCUCGAUCGUGUGAUUCGGAAUCUCUUUGUAAGUUAACUCUUAACCGUACGUAGCAUGGCCAUGCAUUUUCGGAUCCGAUCACUCGAGGGGCCUAGAGAUAUCACUCUCAAUCAGAGAGGGGCAAAUCCCAUCUUGAUUGACCAUGUCUCAUAGCAUUCUUCUUGACAAACCCGAAAGCUACCUUUAUAACUACCCUGUUACGGCGUAGCGUUUGAUAGCCCCUAAGUAGGUCGAUCCACAUCUAGAAUACAUGCGACAAUCUCAGGUCUAAGGACAAAGCGUAUAUGUUGUUUAAAGAGAGAACUACUUCUCAUGUUGGGUCAGUCCUAGCACAUGUCUCCACAUGUGUCCACAUUAUUAGUUCAACAUCUCCAUGUCCAUGACUUGUGAAACAUAGUCAUCAACUAAUACAUGUGCUAGUCUAAUAUUCAUGUGUGUCCUCACAUGAACUCCGACUAGGGACAACUUUAGAAUAACCAUACAAGUAAAGAGUUUCACAUACAAUUCACAUAAUUGCAAAUCAAUUCAACUAGCCUUCAAUGGAUAUUCAAUGAACACAACAUACAAAUCAUGGAUACAAAUGGAAUAUCAUCAUCUCCAUGAUUGCCUCUAGGGCAUACCUCCAACACCCUAACCAUAACAAGGCUCGGUUCGCAGCUCAACAGCUGCGUGGCUCUGCACGGCUCUGGUGGGACCACUACCAUGGCAUGUUGCCGGCUGGCCAUGUGGUCAGCUGGAAUGAGUUCAAGACCGCGUUUAAAGCGCAUCACAUCCCGGAAGGUCUCCUGGAGUGCAAGCUCAACGAGUUCCUGGCUCUUACCCAGGGAACCCGAGAUGUCCUGCACUACGCCCAAGCUUUCAACGAUCUGUGCCAUUAUGCCGGCUAUCAUGCGGACACCGACGAGAAGAAGCGGGAUAGAUUCCGCCGAGGACUGAGCUUGGAGCUCAGAGAAAGGUUGAACCCCAUCAAGGUGGACACCUACAACGAGUUGGUCAAUCUGGCCAUCUCCCAAGAGGAUUGCAUGCAGGCUCUCAAAGCCGACCAGAAGAGGAAGGCCUCCGUGGCAUUUCCGAGCCAACCAACCCGAAGGUUCAGGAUGGUUCCUCCACAAGCCCCCGGCCGACCCCAGCAAUCGGGAAGGUGGAUUGCCCGACCCCCACCAGCAGCAGCGCCCCGUUUUUCCGGCUUCCAACCACAGGCGCCCCGGCCGACCCCACCAGCACCACCCCGCCCUGCAACUAGUAGCCGCUGCUUCACCUGCGGCAAUGAAGGGAAUUUUACUAAAGACUGCCCCAGGAACAAGAAUCAGCAGCAAGGCCAGAACCCCAUGGCGAACAGAGGAAGAAGGCCCAAGGUGCAAGUUUGACAAGGCCGGCUCAACUACACCAGCUUGACUGAACUCCCCGAAGGUGCGCCGGUAAUGACGGGUACUUUCUUUGUCUUAAAUCAAGCUGUUGUUGUGUUGUUUGAUUCGGGAGCCUCUCAUAGCUUUAUCGGGAGUAAGGCUAGAGAAAGAUGUGAGCUGGAUGUCGGUCCCACUAAGGAAUGCUAUGUGAUCGCCACUCCGGGAGGGAAGAUAGCCUCAGAUCAGAUCGUUACUCUUGUACCUCUCUAGCUAGGACCAACUCUUUUCAAGGAAAACCUUAUCAUCCUUGACCUGGAAGGAAUAGAUAUCAUCCUCGGGAUGGAUUGGAUGGCCAGACACCAAGUGGUUCUAGAUACAGCCGCCCGAACACUCCACAUCAACUCACCCUUCCAUGGCAGUUCUACCCUAUCCUUGAAACCUCCUAAGUCCGCACUCCCUUGUGCGUACCCUCUAUCGGGAGCCCGACUAGAAAGCCUCCCUGUUGUCUGUGAGUACCCUGACGUGUUCCCCGAAGACUUGCCUGGCAUGCCACCUGAUAGAGAGGUGGAGUUUUCCAUAGAGUUGAUCCCCGACACCGCACCGAUAUCCAAGAGACCCUAUCGAAUGCCACCUGCUGAGUUGGUCGAGUUGAAUACCCAGUUGCAUGAUCUGUUGAAAAAAGGCUUCAUCCGACCCAGCACAUCACCUUGGGGUUGUCCUGCCCUGUUUGUGAAGAAGAAGGAUGGCAGUCUACGCAUGUGUGUGGACUACCGACCCCUCAAUGCUGUGACCAUCAAGAACAAGUACCCACUGCCACGCAUUGAUAUCUUGUUUGAUCAGUUAGCUGGAGCAAAAGUGUUCUCCAAGAUCGAUCUUCGUUCGGGUUAUCACCAAAUCAAGAUCCGACCCUGCGACAUACCCAAGACAGCCUUCUCCACAAGGUAUGGACUAUACGAGUACCUGGUCAUGUCCUUUGGACUCACCAAUGCACCCGCCUAUUUCAUGUACCUCAUGAACUCGGUGUUCAUGCCCGAGUUGGACAAGUUUGUUGUGGUGUUCAUUGAUGAUAUCCUCGUGUACUCAAAGAGCGAAGAAGAACAUGCCGAUCAUCUUCAUGUAGUUCUCCAACAGCUGAGAGAUCACCAACUUUAUGCCAAGUUCUCCAAGUGUGAGUUUUGGUUAGAUAGUGUCAAGUUUUUGGGACACACUAUCUCCAAGGAUGGUAUAGCCGUCGACCCCAGUAAGGUACGGGAAGUUAUGGAAUGGAAGCCUCCUGCCUCAGUGCACCAGAUCAAAAGUUUCCUUGGACUGGCAAGCUACUAUCGGUGCUUCAUACCGGAUUUCUCUAACAUAGCUAAGCCGAUGAUAGAGUUGUUAAAGAAAGAGGUCAGGUUCGCGUGGAGCGACAAGUGCGAAGAAGCCUUCAAGACCCUGAAGCACUUGCUGACCACAGCCCCAGUUUUGGCUCAGCCCGACCCUUCUAGGCCGUUUGAUGUGUACUGUGACGCCUCUGGCACUGGACUUGGGUGUGUUCUUAUGCAAGACAACCGAGUCAUUGCCUAUGCCUCACGGGCAUUACAACCUCAUGAGCUGAACUACCCGACCCAUGAUCUUGAGUUGGCAGCAAUGAUUCAUGCCUUAAAGAUAUGGAGACACUAUCUGAUGGGCACCCACUGCAACAUCUACACCGACCACAAGAGCCUCAAGUACAUCUUCACUCAAGCCGACCUCAACAUGCGCCAAAGAAGAUGGUUAGAGUUGAUAAAAGACUAUGACUUGGAAGUUCACUAUCAUCCCGGCAAGGCCAAUGUGGUGGCCGAUGCUCUUAGUCGCAAGAACUGUUGCAAUUGCUUGUCGGCAACAACUUUCACCGAGACUCUGUGUCAUGAGGUGGGGAAACUUAGUUUGGAAAUUGUUCCCCAUGGAACCCUCGGCCACAUCACUCUUGACUCAGUUUUGGAAGACCAAAUACGGUCAGCACAAAUGGAGGAUGAGGAAAUAAAGCGGAUCAUCAGGAAGAUCUCAUUGAAGGAUGAAGGGUAUAAGCAUUUUCGACAGGAUAAGGUUGGGAAGGUGUAUUAUGGAAACCGACUGGUUGUACCAGCCGACCCCGACAUUAAGAAGCAGAUCUUAGAUGAAGCUCAUCUCUCCAAGUUCUCAAUCCAUCCUGGCAGCAAUAAGAUGUACCAUGAUCUCCGCCAAACCUUUUGGUGGAGUGGAAUGAAGUCGGAAAUUGCCCGUUAUGUUUCAAAAUGUGAUACCUGUCGACGUGUCAAAGCCAGCCAUCUAAAGGUAGCAGGUACCCUGCAGCCCCUACCUAUUCCCUCUUGGAAAUGGGAGGACAUCAGCAUGGACUUCAUAGUUGGACUGCCCCUUACAUUGCAGCGACAUGACUCCAUCUGGGUUAUAGUGGACCGCCAGACCAAGACCGUCCACUUCCUUCCUGUCCGCACCACCCACACAGUCAAGCAGUAUGCGGAGUUGUACCUCGACCGUAUAGUUUCCCUACACGGUGUACCCAAGACCAUCAUCUCUGAUCGAGGAGUUUAGUUUGUGGCACGCUUUUGGGAACAGCUACAAGCAUCCAUGGGCACCAAGCUCAUCCGUAGCUCGACAUAUCAUCCUCAAACCGAUGGUCAAACCGAAAGAGUCAACCAGAUCCUUGAAGACAUGUUGAGAGCUUGUGUCAUCCAUUAUGACAAGAAUUGGGACAAGUGCUUGUCCUUGGCAGAGUUCUCCUACAACAACAGCUACCAGACCAGUUUGAAGAUGGCACCGUUUGAAGCCUUAUAUGGCCGGAGAUGUCGGACACCAUUGAACUGGUCCCAAGCAGGAGAAAGACAGAUCUAUGGCCCUGACUUAGUGGCAGAAGCCGAAGAGCAAUUUAGGGUAAUUCAAGCAAAUCUCAAGGCUGCCCAAUCUCGACAAAAGAGUUAUUCCGACAGGCGAAGAAGGCCCCUACAGUUUGAUAUUGGUGACCAUGUGUAUCUUCGAGUCUCCCCGACCAAAGGAGUGCAACGGUUUGGAGUGAAAGGCAAGUUGGCUCCCCGCUACAUUGGCCCUUAUGAGAUUGUGGAGAUCUGUGGACCCGUAGCUUACCGGAUCCAACUCCCAGAACAGCUAUCGACCAUACACGAUGUUUUCCAAGUGUCUCAACUGAAGAAAUAUGUCCAAGUUCCAACCAAGAUCUUAGAGCCACAGCAGCUUCAGGUAGAGCCGACCUAACCUACGCCGAGUACCCAGACCGAGUUCUUGACCAGAAAGAGAGGCAUACCCGGCGCCAAAUGGUCAAAAUGUACAAGAUCCUCUGGAGAAACCACAUGGAGGAUGAAGCAACAUGGGAAACAGACGAGUAUCUGAACAAGCACUUCCCAGGUUUUCUGUCUCGUCAAGGAGGUAAGAACGGUACACCCUACUUUGAUACCUGAAUCUCGGGAUGAGAUUCUUUUUAAGAGGGGUAGGCUGUGACGACCGGCCCCAAAUCUUCAAAGUUAAUCUUAAUCCGAGCCCCUGAUCACCUGUCUUAGCUUUCCAAGCCUAAGUGUUCAACCUCCCGACCGGUCCCGACCCCUGAGACCCGACCCCUCCCCGCUUGUCUCCAGUUCUGACCCCGCCAACCCCAACUCACCGUCGGAUCCUUCUAAGUCUUUCCCAAAACGUCCGUUCUAUCUGACCGGUGGACCCACGAGAUCUUUUUCCCCCAGAUCUUCCGCGACAGGCGCACUCGAGUUGCAUGCCCGCUUCAGAGUUUCCCCGCCGCGUGGCUCAACUUCUCUGACGCCCGCUGCUCCGCCUCGUCUCUGGCCCGCGACCGAAUGGAUUCUCGCGCCCCUUCCCCAAUUGCAGCGGAAGCCCCUCUGCAACCUUUCUGCAACGCCUCGCCUCCCGCGCCCAUCUUCACAUCGCCAGAUCCCGACCGCAGAGCCCGAUGUCGCCCGUCUUUUCCGUCACCUCGACACAGUUGUGCCGCCUGGUCUUCGCUACCCGACGAUUCCUCCUCCGCCAACCCUGACCACGGCAGCGACAGCUCCUUUCCCCGCCCUGUCAGAAGCCGCCUGACAAUCUAUUGCUCCGCGCUCGCCCGCGCGCCCGCGGCUGCCUAUCUUCUCACCUGUGCGCCCUCGAUUCUAGCGUCGUUAAUCCGAUCACUUCCAUCAGCUCUACCGCAUGACGACGCCCGCCUCCUCCAAAUUUCAACCACCGGCAUACCCGCUCCUGCGCCGCCCUGACGCUAGAGCCCAAUGACCGCUGGCGUCAUCCCCGAAGUCCUGCUCCACCGCCCUCGUCGCUCAAUCGCCGCCCAGGCAGAGCACUCCAUUGCUUCUUCCCCGGCCUUCGCGCCGCUCCCCUUCUCACUCCCGCGCCGCUUCCCUUCUCCCUUCCCAGCCGCUAUAAAAGGGAAUGCGCGAACCCCGCCAGAGUUCCCUUCGCCAUUGCUGCCUUUCCGCCUUUCCGCUUGCUCCCUGCUCGAGCUCCCAGCGCCACACACUAAGUUCCUGAGGAACUCUCCUCUCCGCUCCACUCCGUUUUCCCCAAGCCAUCCAGCCGCUUGCUCCUCCGUGCUGCGUAAGAGCUCACUUCUGAUCCACAAGAAGCACUGCCGCCGCCGGAGUACUGCAGGACCUAGCCGUUGUUCAAAACCUUAGCCCCUCCGCCCAGGCCUGUUUCUUCCCGACCCCAAGCUUUCCUUGUAGGAAGAAGGUAAGCUGCCGACCCCUGGUCCGCCUCGUCCGACCCUUGUCCGCUUCGCCCGACCCCUCUUAUCCGCCCGACCCCGGUUCCGUCUCACCCGACCCUGUCUGUUCCGCCGACCCUUCUCCGCCUCGCCCGAGGGCUCGGCUGUAACCUUUUUCUUCAAACCGAGGGUGCAUGUGUAAAACUUGGGAACCCUUCAGCGUUGAGUUUGAGGAUCCCUAGCACACCAACCCUCUAGUUUAAGGGUCAGAUCACAAGUUCCUUUCCUCGGACCCUUACCUCUUGAUCUCCACCAGCUCCCUUGAACCUUCCCACCCUCCUGCUUUUUGUCACGAGUUUCUGGGCUCAGACUUGCAAGUGUUGCUGUUGAAAUAACCGUCUAUGCUAACUAAUGCAUUGCAUUCGUGUAGAGCUGCGCCUCGCCGACGGCUUCUACGAGCUGCACCCGGCGCCAGAAGACGACGGUGUAGCUGAGCUCCUGCCCUCUGAAUCCGAAGCCGCCCCAGAAGUCGAGCAGUUCUCUUCCUCCUUGCUCGAAGGCAAGCCCCGGUUGCAUGAAAACCCUGUGUUGUUUUACCAAACUUGCGCAUGCCUUCUUUAACAUGCUUGUGCAUUUACGUAUAGGAGUUGUUUGGAACCCUAGACGCAUAUCGUAGCUUCCCUGAUCUGAACACUAGCUGUUGGACCGAGUAGCUGCUUGCUUAAAUAGGAAGCGGUAAAAGUCGAGUGAUUUCCUGUCACUCGCGAGUUGUAGGAGUUGGUUGUCUACCCUUCUGUUACAACUGUAAGGACGAUGGACGCGGCAGGGUUUGGGUAACUCUUUGGUGGUCGGUUGAUCGCCCCAUCUAUCUAUGAAACUUGACUAAGGCCCGACAGUGGUGGUGUUCGUGAUCAAGUGUUUGAAAGUACUAACCUCAUACUUAGUAUGGGAUGAGGAAGCCUAGUACCGGAUUGAACCUAAACGUGAGCGGUCGCCCCAUUGUUCUUGGAACAGAGUUUCCCCUGCUGGAUGUCGCACGUGGUGGCAUGCGUGGUCACAGAACGGCAGAGGCCGGGUCUGUGGAACCUUGCACCAAAGGAAAUGGGCCCGACACGGGUUAGGGGAUUGAUGGGGAAGGCCGACACAGGAAGCGACCUCCGGGUGCACGGAUGUCGUGAGGUUAGGUUCACCAUGCAUGGUUAAAGAACUCGAAUCGAUUCGUCUGCCUCUCAUAGUUUGAGACUGCUUGAUCGCUAUGUCACCCUGAGUAAAUGAGGAAUCUGAUGAUGACAUGGUUUUGUUGAUAUAUAUACAUACCUUGGUUGGUUCUAUGAUUGUUUAGCAUAGUUGCAAAACCUAGACCGGAUAAUGAACUUAGAACCUGAGCUAAAACUUGAAACUAAAGUUCUAUUUAGUGCUUUUGGCAAACAAAACCUUCAGCCAAAAAGCCUUGCAUGUCUAGAAGUGUGGAGUAGCUUUACUCCUGUCGGUUAAGUCUUGUUGAGCUUAGUAGCUCAGCCUACUUGUGGCUCCUGUUUUUCAGGUGAAUUUGCUGCUCCUGACUCUUCUCCCGCUGGCACUUGGCCGCCCCAGCUCCCUCCGGGUUGGACGGUCGAGUGGGAUCCCUCCUCGGACGGCGAGGAGAGGGAUCAGUGAUGUCCCGGCUGGCCUCACCAGGGACGUCCGACCCCGACGUUUUGCUUCCGCUAGUGGUUUUAUCUUCUGUUGUCUUUCUUGAAAACCUUGUAAAACUCUGAUGUUUAUUUCCUAACCAAAAUAAGUGGUUAAGUUGUUAACUCGGCGGACUUGUUGUAUUCUCUAGAACCGCUCACCUUCGUGUGGGUCUGCUAAAAUGGUCCUGUUCAAGUGGUUAAAUCGGAGGAAAUCCGAUGGCACUUCGUGUUUACUCGGCUUAGGCAUGAGCGUCGCGUAUCAGGCGGCUAAAUCAUGUUUAACCAAGUAGAUUCGAAGUGGAUCCGCCACACUCCUGUUGCGGAGAAGUUUACACGGGAGAACUACGUCUUAUGGAAGGCACAAUUCCUUCCUGCUGUGCGUGGUGCGUAGCUCUUGGGGAUCUUAGAUGGAUCCAUCAAGGAGCCGGCCAAGACCAUGGAAUUGGUGAAGGCCGACGACAAGAAAGAAAUAGUUGCCAACUCGGAGUAUGAUCUAUUGGUGGCCAAGGAUCAACAAUUGCUAAGCUACCUACUCAACUCUAUCAUCAAAGAAGUCCUGGCGCAAGUGGCAGCUGAGACGACUUCGGCAGGAGGAUGGAGUGCACUACAGACUAUGUUUGCAGCCCAGUCAAGAGCUCGUGUGACGAAUUUAUGCAUGCGGCUAUCUACUCUCAAGAAGGGUAACAUGUCCUCGUCAACUUACUUCACAAAGAUGGUGGCCAUCAAGGAUGAAUUGGCCGCAGUUGGAAUACUCAUCGAUGAUGGUGAGAUGGCAUCUCAUAUUCUCAAUGGGCUUGAUUUUGAAUAUAAUCCUUUUGUCUCAUCGAUGCUUGGUCGAUCGGAUCCCCUUCCUCUCUCCGAGCUAUACUCUCUCUCACUUGAUGUCUUACAAGAUGCAUCUUGAGGCUUACAACGAAGGGGGUCAGUAUACGUCUUCAGCAAAUUCAGCAUAUCGUGGAGGAUUUCGAGGAUGAGGCAAUGGAGGCCGCAGUCAUGGGCGCAAUAAUGGUGGCCGUGGUGGACAGAACCAUGGCAACACCAAUCAGCCAAAUCAUCCCAAGAAAACUGUGUGCCAGAUUUGCAAGAAAAUCGGUCAUGAAGCACUGAGAUGCUGGUAUAGAUACGAGGACGAUGAUCAAGAAAACACCAAGAUGGCCGGUGCUACAGCCACUGGUUUUGGUUAUGAUACUAAUUGGUAUGCGGACAGUGGCGCCACCGACCACAUCACUGCAGAGCUUGACAAGCUGACUGUCAAAGACAAGUACAAUGGCCGAGAACAAGUCCAAACUGCCAACAUAUUAGGUAUGAAAAUUAGUAAUAUUGGUCAUUCAACUUUACAUGACCCUAGUAGAAAAUUGCAUCUCAAAAAUAUUCUCCAUGUUCCUAGUGGUCACAAGAAUCUUGUUUCGGUCCAUAAACUAGCAUUAGACAAUAAUACCUUUCUUGAAUUUCAUCCUAAAUUCUUCUUUAUUAAGGAUCAGGAAACGAGGAAAAUCCUUCAUCAAGGUAGAUGCAAAGGAGGUCUUUAUCCGCUUGAGUCUAUCUCUUCAGAUGAGACCAGCAGCAAGGAAGCUUAUAGCGCCAUUAAACCAUCCACCUCUAAGUGGCAUAGUCUGUGCAGUUAUAGAUCUUAUCUAGGUUUGCCUACCUCUCAGCAUCAACCACAUCCCUAGGAACCCAAAUAGAAAUGUCUUCCUCAUCUGAAUCAGACCUGUAUAGAAAUGCAAUGCAUACAACAACAAGAGCAGCAGCUUGAGAAGCCAUCCUGGCACGGUACUAAUGCAAGUCCAUCUACAUCAUUGCAUGGAAAUAAAUAAAUUUUUGAACUUGUUUACUGAAACAGAACUGAAGACAUCCUACGAUGUGGCAGUAUACACAAACAUGGCAACAAAAGGAUCAUUGCCUUGGCUGCUACCAAAGUUGCCUCCCGGAGCCUCCUCCUGAACACAUCAUCGACCAAGAACCACCCAACAAACAAGUCCACAAGUCCAACAGGUAUCACUACCAUGGCUGCUACCAAAGUAGCCUCCCAAGGCUCCUCCUCAACACGUUAUGGAUAAAAACAGCCAACAUACAAAUAAACUUAACCAACAGGUAUCAUUGCCACAGCUGCUACAAAAAGUAGCCUCCCAAAGGUUCCUUCUCAACAUCAUCCAACAAAGAAAAUCUCAUAACAGCGUCAUUGCCAUGGCUGCUACCCAAGGUAGCCUCCAAGAGGCUCAAUAGGCAUCACACAACAACUAUAUUAGUCACUUCAUGCGCCGCCUCAGCCACCGGGCCGCCUCCUCAUCGACCGUGGCCCACCGCGGGCGACGUCCUCAACUGCCGCGUAGCGCCGGCGCAAGUGGUCACCGAGCCGCCUCCUCGCUGGGCCGUGGCCCUCGCGCGCGAUGUCCUCAACCGCCGCGCCACUCCGACGCCGGCCAACACUUUGCCACACGCGUGCACAGGACGCCCGCCGCCCCGCCGAGCCAGCAAAGCGCCACCUUCCUUGUCGAAGUCGCCAAGCCCCCCCCCCCCCCCAAACACCCCGUCGGCAGCUGCUCCGCGUAGAUCCGGCCUCGGGGGCAUCGAAUCCGGUCCCCAGAAUGCCGGAUUUGCCGCCCCGGGCCGCCGCCGUCGCCUCCAUAGCCGGUGCUGCCGCAUCGUUGACCAAGGGCGGAAGCGGCCCGGGCCGACGGUAGGAGCCCUGCCGCCGCCUUCCUAGUAGACACACAGGCUUUCGGUGCCCUGCUCCGGCGGCGGCGAGGUGGAGAGGGGGGCCGUGAGGGGGUGGCGGUGGCGGAGGGUGGGGCGCCGCCCGAGUCGCCCCUAGGGAAUUGCAAAUCCAUAGCCAGUUCGAUUAUUUCAAAAAAAUGAUAGCCAGUUCUCUUCAGAAAACACCAUCAUUUCAGAACGGACCUUUCACAAAACUGACGAGCAAAACGAAUCAGAGAGUGCUUGCUGAACAGUCUACAUGACCCUAAGCUGCUGAACAGGAGAUCGCCUUGAACAGAUUAAGAAGCUUCAGCACACCGUGAGAAUUACAUUUGCAUCAUGCAUCAGAAUUCUGAAUCAAACUGAAGUUCAGAAGAAGCAGAGAUCCCUACGAGCUAUGAAUCUGACUGAUCAAUCCUGAGCUUGUCUAUACUAGUACCAUGUAUACUCCAGCCAAAACUUGGAAUUUCAAAUCAACUCAUAAGAACUGUGGGUACUGGUAACCAAAAUCUGACCCAGAGGGUUUAUCUGAAAUCUGAACAAAAUAAUAGCCUGUUUUCUUCGGAAAAUAUCUUCAUUCAGAACGGUCGUUUCACAGAGCUGACCAUCAAAACGAAUAAGAGAAUGCAUGUACAGACAAAGAUGAUGUUUGGAAACAAAAAAAAAA
rnacentral:lncRNA from 1 species